UUUUUUUUUUGUAGUGUAACUACCAUACUUCUGCUACUCCAAAAAUUAUGAAACAAACUGGACCACGUGAGAAAUUUGAAUAUUAAAUUUCCGCAAAAAGAAUCAACUCAAGAGCACUCUUCUGUUAAAUAUGAGAUUCAUUUUUGUGAGACGCAAAAGUUUCUGUUUUUCAGCAGAGUCAAAUCAACAAUCACCCAACAUGAUCCCAAAGGCUUUACUUGGCACUUUAUUGAAACAAAAGCAAUAAAACAUGAUCAAUACAGUAGAAUAAUCAUGUGAACACACAAAAACAGUAGGUAAAAGUGUUGGGUUGUCUCCCAACAAGCGCUUUUCUUUAAUACCUUUUAGCUAGGCAUGAUGAUUUCAAUGAUGCUCGCAUAAAAGAUAAGAAUUGAAAUGUAAAGAGAGCAUCAUGAAUCACAUGGCAAGCACAUUUAAGUCUAAGCCACUUCCUAUGCAUAGGGAUUUUGUGAGCAAACAACUUAUGGGAACAAGAAUCAACUAUCAUAGGAAGGCAAAACAAGCAUAACUUCGAAACUUUCAACACAUAGAGAGGAAACUUGAUAUUAUUGCAAUUCCUACAAGCAUAAGCUCCUCCAUCAUAACAAUUUUCAGUAGCAUCAUGAAGAAAUUCAACAAUAUAACCAUCACAUAAAAGCAUUCUUUUCAUGACACAAAAGCAUAGAAAAUUCAUUACUCUCCACAUAAGCAAAUUUAUUCUCAUCAAUAGUAGUGGGAGCAAACACAACAAAAUAACUAUCAUGAGAGUGAAAAUUAAAACCAUGAUGACAAGUUUCAUGGUGAUCGUUAUUCUUUAUAGCAUACAUGUCAUCACCAUAAUCAUCAUAGAUAGCAACCUUGUUCUCAUAGUCAAUUGAAGCCUCAUCCAAAAUAGUGGAUUCAUCAUUAAAUAAAGUCACGACCUCUCCAAAUCCACUUUCAUCAAUAUAAUCAUCAUAAAUAGGAGGCAUGCAAUCAUUAUAACAAAUCUGCACAUCAAAUCUUGGGGGGCUAAAAGUAUCAUCUUCAUCAAACAUAGCUUCCCCAAGCUUAUGGUUUUGCAUAUCAUUAGUAUCAUGAAUAUUCAAAGAAUUCAUACUAACCACAUUGCAAUCAUGCUCAUUAUUUAUACCAAACAUUAUAUUGAAUUCUUCUUCUAACAAUUGAGCACAAUUAUCUGAACCAUCAUUUUCAAGAAAGAUAUUAUAAAGAUGAUCAAUAAUAUGAUGCAACCUAAAUUCCAUUUUUUUCAGUUUUUAUUUAUAAACCAAACUAGUGAUAAAACAAGAAAUUAAAAUAUUCAAUUGCAAGAUCUAAAGAUAUACCUUCAAGCACUCACCUCCCCGGCAACGGCGCCACAUAUCGUCAAAAUACAAUCAUGCCGAUCAACUAGACCGACCACCACGUGGACGGGACAAAAUGGCAAUUAUGCUGAAUACCAGCCCGCGCCCCCAUGCCGUAGAGGCAAGGAGAUAGCGGCUCCGGGCUACACAUACGACCUACGUCAGGACCUGACCAACAGAGCCGAUCAGACCCGAUCAACCUACGGAUCAAGAGGACGUGCUCCAGCACGAGAUGAUGGCCAUCAGGCCUGGCACGACAAACAUAACCAAGUCCGGGGCCAGCCCCGAACUCGGAUGUCAUCCGAACCCCGUCGCGAUGUGGCCCGGUAUAGAGGUGUCGCGCACCCCAUGUGCUUUACCUAUGAGGUAAUGCAGCACCAGUUUCCAGAAGGGUUUAAACCCGUAAACAUCGAGCCAUACGAUGGAACGACAGAUCCUGCUGUAUGGAUUGAAGAUUUUCUUCUCCACGUUCACAUGGCUCCCGUAGAUGAUCUCCACGCCAUUAAAUACCUCCCUCUAAAGCUAAAAGGACCAGCACGACACUGGUUGAAUAGCCUCCCAGAGAACUCCAUUGGCAGGUGGGAGGACUUAGAGGUCGCUUUUUAGGACAACUUUCAGGGCACUUCUGUCCGGCCACCGGACGUUGAUGACCUGAGUCCCAUAGUCCAGCAACCCGGAGAGUCAGCCCGCAAACUUUGGACUCGGUUCUUAAUUAAAAAGAAUCAAAUUUUUGACUGUCCGGACGCUGAAGCCUUAGCGGCAUUUAAGCACAGUGUCCAUGACGAAUGGCUCGCCCGACACCUCGGUCAGGAAAAGCCGAAGACUAUGGUAGCUCUUACUGCACUUAUGAUCCGCUUCUGUGCGGGCGAAGAUAGCUGGUUAGCUCGUAAAAUCAACAGUGCCAACGACCCCGGCACCUCCGAAGCCAGGGAUGGCAAUGGAAGGCCAUGACACAGCAAAAACAAGCGUUAGAACAACAACAAAGAAACAGAGGAUAUGACAGUAAACGUCGGAUUCAACGGCUCUAAACUGAAGGAAAUAUUCCCUAGAGGCAACAAUAAAGUUGUUAUUUAUAUUUCCUUAUAUCAUGAUAAAUUUUUAUUAUUCAUGCUAGAAUUGUAUUAACCGGAAACUUGAUACAUGUGCGAAUACAUAGACAAAACACAGUGUCCCUAGUAUGCCUCUACUAGACUAGCUCGUUAAUCAAAGAUGGUUAAGUUUCCUAACCAUAGACAUGUGUUGUCAUUUAAUGAAUGGGAUCACAUCAUUAGGAGAAUGAUGUGAUGGACAAGACCCAUCUGUUAGCUUAGCAUAAUGAUCGUUAAGUUUUAUUGUUAUUGCUUUCUUCAUGACUUAUACAUAUUCCUUUGACUAUGAGACUAUGCAACUCCCGAAUACCGGAGGAAUACCUUGUGUGCUACCAAACGUCACGGCGUAACUGGGUGAUUAUAAAGAUGCUCUGCAGGUAUCUCCGAAGGUGUUUGUUGGGUUGGCAUAGAUUAAUAUUAGGAUUUGUCACUCCGAGUAUCGGAGAUGUAUCUCUGGGCCCCUCGGUAAUGCACAUCAUGAUAAACCUUGCAAGCAAUGUGACUAAUGAGUUAGUUGUGGGAUGAUGCAUUACGGAACGAGUAAAGAGACUUGCCGGUAACGAGAUUGAACUAGGUAUGAAGAUACCGAUGAUCGAAUCUCGGGCAAGUAACAUACCGAUGACAAAAGGAAUUAUGUAUGUUGUCUACGGUUUGACCGAUAAAGAUCUUCGUAGUAUAUGUAGGAACCAAUAUGAGCAUCCAGGUUCCGCUGUUGGUUAUUGUCCGGAGAGGUGUCUUGGUCAUGUCUACAUAGUUCUCGAACCCGUAGGGUCCGCACGCUUAACGUUCGAUGAUGAUUUGUAUUAUAUGAGUUAUGUGAUUUGGUGACCGAAUAUUGUUCGGAGUCUCGGAUGAGAUCACGGACAUGAUGAGGAGUCUCGAAAUGGUCGACAGGUAAAUAUUCAUAUAUAGGACGAUAGUAUUCAGACACUGGAAGUGUUCUAGGGGUACCGGGUACGUAUUGGGUCACCGAAAGGGGUUCCGGGCAACCCCCGGCAAGCUAUAUGGGCCUAAUGGGCGAAGAGUUGGAGAGACCAGCCCCAAAAGGGGCUGGUGCACACCCUAUAGGCCGAAUAGGAGGAGAAGGAAAGGAAUGGAAGGGAGAAGGAAAGGGGAGGAUUCGGCCUCCCCCUUUCCUUCCCCUCCCCCCCCCCUCUCUUUCCUCCCCCCUCCGAUGGAUAUGGAAGGGGGGAGGCUGACUUGGAGGAGGCGCCCAAGUAGGAUUACUCCUACUUGGGGCGCCCCUUGCAGCCCCUCUCCCUCUCCCACCUAUAUAUAUGUGGGGGGCACCGCUAGAACACACAACAUUGAUUCCUAGCCAUGUGCGCCGCCCCCCUCCACAGUUUAUGCCUCCGGUCAUAUUCAUGUAGUGCUUAGGCGAAGCCCUGUGCGGAUCACUUCACCAUUACCGUCACCAUGCCGUCGUGCUGAUGGAAAUCUCCCUCGACACUUUGCUGGAUCAAGAGUUCGAGGGACGCCAUCGAGCUGAACGUGUGCAGAACUCGGAGGUGCCAUAUGUUCGGUGCUUGAUCGGUCGGAACGAGAAGAAGUUCGACUACAUCAAUCGUGUUGUCAAACGCUUCUGCUUUCGGUCUACGAGGGUACAUGGACACACUCUCCCCCUCUCGUUGCUAUGCAUCUCCUAGAUAGAUCUUGCGUGAUCGUAGGAAUUUUUUUGAAAUUGCAUGCUACGUUCCCCAACAGUGGCAUCAGAGCCAGGUCUAUGCGUAGAUGAUAUGCAUGAGUAGAACACAAAGAGUUGUGGGUGGUGAUAGUCAUACUGCUUACCACCAACGCCUUAUUUUGAUUCAGCUGUAUUGUUGGACGAAGCUGCCUGGACCAACCUUACAUGACCACGUUCAUGAGACCGGUUCCACCGACAGACAUGCAACUAGUUUUGCAUAAAGAUGGUUGGCGGGUGUCGGUUUCUCCAAGUUUAGUUGAAGCGAAUUUGACUAAGGCCGGUCCUUGUUGAAGGUUUAAACAACAAACUUGACGAAACACCUUUGUGGUUUUGAUGUGUAGGUAAGAACGGUUCUUACUAGAAGCCCGUAGCAGCCACGUAAAACUUGCAACAACAAAGUAGAGGAUGUCUACCUUGUUGUUGUAGGGCAUGUUGUGAUGUGAUAAGGUCAGGACAUGAUGUGAUGUACGUUGUUGUAUGAGAUGUUCAUGUUUUGUAAAAGUUAUCGGCAACUGGCAGGAGCCUUAUGGUUGUCACUUUAUUGUAUGAAAUGCAAUCGCCAUGUAAUUGCUUUACUUUAUCACUAUGCGUUAGCGAUAGUUGUAGAAGCAAUAGUUGGCGAGAUGACAACGACACUGCGAUGGAGAUCAAGGUGUCAAACCGGUGACGAUGGAGAUCAUGACGGUUCUUUGGAGAUGGAGAUCAAAGGCACAAGAUGAUGAUGGCCAUAUCAUGUCACAUAUUUUGAUUGCAUGUGAUGUUUAUAUUUUAUGCAUCUUAUUUUGCUUAGUACGUCUGUAGCAUUAUAAGAUGAUCCCUCACUAAAAUUUCAAGGUAUAAGUGUUCUCCCUGAAUGCACCAUUGUGACAGUUCGUCAUGCCGAGACACCACAUGAUGAUCGGGUGUGAUAAGCUCUACGUUCACAUACAACGGGUGCAAGACAGUUUUGCACGUGCGGAAUACUCAAGUUAAACUUGACGAGCCUAGCAUGUACAGACAUGGCCUCGGAACACUGAGACCGAAAGGUCAAACGUGAAUCAUAUAGUAGAUAUGAUCAACAUAGAGAUGUUCACCAUUGAAAACUACUCCGUCUCACGUGAUGAUCGGACAUGGUUUAGUUGAUAUGGAUCACGUGAUCAUUUAGAUGACUCGAGGAAUGUCUAUCUAAGUGGGAGUUCUUAAGUAAUAUGAUUAAUUGAACUUAAUUUAUCAUGGACUUAGUCCUGAUAGUAUUUGCAUAUCUAUGUUGUAGAUCAAUAGCUUGCGAUAUAUCUCCUCGUCUAUUUUUGAUAUGUUCCUAGAGAAAAAUAAGUUGAAAUAUGAUAGUAGCAAUGAUGUAGAUUGGGUCCGUGAUUUGAGGAUUAUCCUCAUUGCUGCACAGAAGAAUUAUGUCCUUGAUGCACCGCUAGGUGACGGACCUAUUGCAGGAGCAGAUGCAGAUGUUAUGAACAUUUGGCAAGCUCAGUAUGAUGACUACUUGAUAGUUUAGUGCGCCAUGCUUUACGGCUUAGAACCGGGACCUCAAAAACGUUUUGAAUGCCAUGGAGCAUAUAAGAUGUUCCAAGAGCUGAAAUUGGUAUUUCAGACUUAUGCUCGAGUCGAGAGGUAUGAGACCUUUGACAAGUACUUUGCCUACAAGAUGGAGGAGAAUAGCUCAACCAGUGAGCAUGUGCUCAGAAUGUCUGAGUACUACAAUCGCUUGAAUCAAAUGAGAGUUAAUCUUUCAGAUAAGAUAGUGAUUGACAGAGUUCACUAGUCACUAUCACCAAGUUACAAGAACUUCAUGAUGAACUAUAAUAUGCAAGGGAUGACAAAAACGAUUCCCGAGCUCUUCGCGAUGCUAAAAUCGGCGAGGGUAGAAAUAAAGAAAAAGCAUCAAGUGUUGAUGGUUAACAAGACCACUAGUUUCAAGAAAAGGGAUAAAGGAAAAAAUGGAACUUCAAGAAAGAAUGGCAAGCAAGUUGCCACUCCUGUGAAGAAUCUCAAAGCUAGACCUAAGCCUGAAAUUGAGUGCUUCUACUGCAAAGGGAAUGGUCACUAGAAGCAGAACUACCCCAAAUACUUGGCAGAUAAGAAGGAUGGCAAAGUGAACAAAGGUAUAUUUGAUAUACAUGUUAUUGAUGUGUACUUUACUAGUGUUCAUAGUAACCCCAGGGUAUUUGAUACUAGUUCAGUUGCUAAGAUUAGUAACUCGAAACAGGAAUUGCAAAAUGAACAGAAACUAGUUAAGGGCAAGGUGACGAUGCGUGUUGGAAGUGAUUCCAAGGUUGAUAAGAUCACCAUCGCACACUCCCUCUACCUUCGAUAUUAGUGUUGGACCAAAAUAAAUGUUAUUUGGUGUUUGCGUUGAGCAUGAAUACAAUUGGAUCAUGUUUAUUGCGAUACGGUUAUUCAUUUAUGUCAGAGAAUACUUGUUGUUCUAUUUACAUGAAUAAAACCUUCUAUGGUCAUACACCCAACGUAAAUGGUUUAUUAAAUCCCGAUCGUAGUGAUACACAUAUUCAUAAUAUUGAUGCCAAAAGAUGCAGAGUUGAUAAUGAUAGUGCAACAUAUUUGUGGCACUGCCAUUUAGGUCAUAUUGGUGUAAAGCGCGUGAAGAAACUCCAUAUGGAUGGAUUUUUGGAAUCACUUGAUUAUGAAUCAUUUGAUACUUGCGAGCCAUGCCUCAUCGGCAAGAUGACUAAAACUCCGUUCCCCAGAACAAUGGAGCGAGCCAUUGACUUAUUGGAAAUAAUACAUACCGAUGUAUGCGGUCCGAUGAGUGUUGAGCCUCACGGCGGGUAUCGUUAUUUUCUGACCUUCACAGAUGAUUUGAGCAGAUAUGGCUAUAUCUACUUGAUGAAACACAAGUAUGAAACAUUUGAAAAGUUCAAAGAAUUUCAGAGUGAAGUGGAGAAUCAUCGUAAUAAGAAAAUAAAGUUUCUACGAUCUGAUCACGGAGGCGAAUAUUUGAUUUAUGAGUUUGGCCUUCAUUUAAAACAAUGUGGAAUAGUUUCACAACUCACGCCACCUGGAACACCACAGCAUAAUGGUGUGUCCGAACGUCGUAACCGUACUUUAUUAGAUAUGGUGCGAUCUAUGAUGUCUCUUACCGAUUUACCACUAUCGUUUUGGGGUUAUGCAUUAGAGACAGCUGCAUUCACGUUAAAUAGGGCACCGUCUAAAUCCAUUGAGACGACAUCGUAUGAACUGUGAUUUAGCAAGAAACCUAAGCUAUCGUUUCUUAAAGUUUGGGGUUGUGAUGCUUAUGUGAAAAAGCUUCAGCCUAAUAAGCUCGAACCCAAAUCGGAGAAGUGCGUCUUCAUAGGAUACCCAAAAGAAACUAUUGGGUACACCUUCUAUCACUAGUCUGAAGGCAAGAUCUUUGUUUCUAAGAAUGGAUCCUUUCUAGAGAAGGAGUUUCUCUCGAAAGAAGUGAGUGGGAGGAAAGUAGAACUUGAUGAGGUAAUUGUACCUUCUCUAAAAUUGGAAAGUAGCUCAUCACAGAAAACCGUUCCCGUGAUGCAUGCACCAACUAGUGAGGAAGCUAGUGAUAAUGAUCAUGAAACUUCGGAUCAAGUUACUACCGAACCUCGUAGGUCAACCAAAGCAUGUUCCGUACCAGAGUGGUACGGUAAUCCUGUUCUGGAAGUCAUGUUACUAGACCAUGACGAACCUACGAACUAUGAGGAAGCGGUGAUGAGCCCAGAUUCCGAUAAAUGGCUUGAGGCCAUGAAAUCUGAGAUAGGAUCCAUGUAUGAGAACAAAGUAUGGACUUUGAUUGACUUGCCCGAUGAUCGGCGAGCCAUUGAGAAUAAAUGGAUCUUCAAGAGGAAGACGGACGCUAAUAGUAGUGUUACUAUCUACAAAGCUCGAAUUGUCGCAAAAAGGUUUUCGACAAGUUCAAGGUGUUGACUACGAUGAGAUUUUCUCACUCGUAUUGAUACUUAAAGUCUGUCCGAAUCAUGUUAGCAAUUGCCGCAUUUUAUGAAAUCUGGCAAAUGGAUGUCAAAACUGCAUUCCUUAAUGGAUUUAUUAAAGAAGAGUUGUAUAUGAUGCAACCUGAAGGUUUUCUAUUUCCUAAAGGUGCUAACAAAGUGUGCAAGCUCCAGCGAUCCAUCUAUGGACUGGUGCAAGCAUCUCGGAGUUGGAAUAUACGCUUUGAUGAGUUGAUCAAAGCAUAUAGUUUUAUACAGACUUGCGGUGAAGCCUGUAUUUACAAGAAAGUGAGUGGGAGCACUACAACCUUUCUGAUAAAUAUAUGUGAAUGACAUAUUGUUGAUAGGAAAUGAUGUAGAAUUUUUUGGAAAGCAUAAAGGAGUGUUUGAAAGGAUUUUUUCAAAGAAAUACCUCGGUGAAGCUACUUACAUAUUGGGCAUCAAGAUCUAUAAAGAUAUAUCAAGAUGCUUGAUAAGACUUUUGAUGAGUACAUACCUUGAUAAAAUUUUGAAGGAGUUCAAAAUGGAUCAGUCAAAAAAGGAGUUCUUGCCUGAGUUGUAAGGUAUGAAGUUGAGUAAGACCCAAAACCCGACCACGGCAGAAGAUAGAGAGAGAAUGGAAGUCAUUCCCUAUGCCUCAGCCAUAGGUUCUAUAAACUAUGCUAUGUUGUGUACCAGACCUAUUGUGUACCUUGCCAUGAGUUUUGCAAGGGGGUACGAUAGUGAUCCAGGAUUGGAUCACUCGACAGCGGUCAAAGUUAUCCUUAGUUACCUAAGAAGACUAAGGAAAUAUUUCUCGGUUAUGGAGGUAAUAAAGAGUUCAUCGUAAAGAGUUAUGAUACGUCUCCAACGUAUCUAUAAUUUUUUAUUGUUCCAUGCUAUUAUAUUAUCCAUCUAGGAUGUUUUAUAUGCUAUUUUAUAUAAUUUUUGGGACUAGCCUAUUAACCUAGAGCCCAGUGCCAGUUUCUGUUUUUUCCUUGUUUUUGAGUAUCGCAGAAAAGGAAAACCAAACGGAGUCCAAUUGACCUGAAAUUUCACGGAGAUUAUUUUUGGACCAGAAGAAGCCCACGGAGUAUCGGAGAUGGGCCAGAAGAGUCCCGAGGCACCCACGAGGGUGGGGGCGCGCCCUACCCCCUGGGAGCGCCCCCCUACCUCGUGGCCGCCUCGGAGACCCCCCUGACUUGUUCCCGACGCCAAAAAUCCCUAUAAAUAUAGAAACCCCCUAAAAGAAACCUAGAUCGGGAGUUCCGCCGCCGCAAGCCUCUGUAGCCACCAAAAACCAAUCGGGACCCUAUUCCGGCACCCUGCCGGAGGGGAAUCCCUCACCGGUGGCCAUCUUCAUCAUCCCGACGCUCUCCAUGACGAGGAGGGAGUAGUUCACCCUCGGGGCUAAGGGUAUGUACCAGUAGCUAUGUGUUUGAUCUCUCUCUCUCUCCCGUGUUCUUGAUUUGGCACGAUCUUGAUGUAUCGCGAGCUUUGCUAUUAUAGUUGGAUCUUAUGAUGUUUCUCCCCCUCUACUCUCUUGUAAUGGAUUGAGUUUUCCCUUUGAAGUUAUCUUAUCAGAUUGAGUCUUUAAGGAUUUGAGAACACUUGAUGUAUGUCUUGCGUGGGAUACCCGUGGUGACAAUGGGGUAUUAUAUUGAUUCACUUGAUGUAUGUUUUGGUGAUCAACUUGCGGGGUCCGCGACCUUGGGAAUCUAUGCAUAGGGGUUGGCACACGUUUUCGUCUUGACUCUCCGGUAGAAACUUUGGGGCAAUCUUUGAAGUUCUUUGUGUUGGUUGAAUAGAUGAAUCUGAGAUUGUGUGAUGCAUAUCGUAUAAUCAUACCCACGGAUACUUGAGGUGACAUUGGAGUAUCUAGGUGACAUUAGGGUUUUGGUUGAUUUGUGUCUUAAGGUGUUAUUCUAGUACGAACUCUAGGAUAGAUCGAAAGGAAAGAAUAGCUUCAUGUUAUUUUACUAAGGACUCUUGAAUAGAUCGAUCAGAAAGGAUAACUUUGAGGUGGUUUCGUACCCUACCACAAUCUCUUUGUUUGGUCUCCGCUAUUAGUGACUUUGGAGUGACUCUUUGUUGCAUGUUGAGGGAUAGUUAUAUGAUCCAAUAAUGUUAUUAUUGUUGAGAGAACUUGCACUAGUGAAAGUAUGAACCCUAGGCCUUGUUUCCUAGCAUUGCAAUACCGUUUGUGCUCACUUUUAUCAUUAGUUACCUUGCUGUUUUUAUAUUUUCAGAUUACAAAAACCUAUAUCUAACAUCCAUAUUGCACUUGUAUCACCAUCUCUUCGCCGAACUAGUGCACCUAUACAAUUUACCAUUGUAUUGGGUGUGUUGGGGACACAAGAGACUCUUUGUUAUUUGGUUGCAGGGUUAUUUGAGAGAGACCAUCUUCAUCCUACGCCUCCCACAGAUUGAUAAACCUUAGGUCAUCCACUUGAGGGAAAUUUGCUACUGUCCUACAAACCUCUGCACUUGGAGGCCCAACAACUUCUACAAGAAGAAGGUUGAGUAGUAGACAUCAAGCUCUUUUCUGGCGCCAUUGCCAGGGAGGUGAGUGCUUGAAGGUAUAUCUUUAGAUCUUGCAAUCGAAUAUUUUUGUUUCUUGUUUUAUCACUAGUUUAAUUUAUAAAAGAAAAUUACAGAAAAAUGGAAUUAAGGUUGCCUCAUAUGCUUCAUCUUUUUAAUGUCUUUCGUGAAAAUGAUGGGAAGGAAAAUUGUGCUCAAGUACUAUAAGAAAAAUUACAUAGAAUGCUUGGCAUAAAAUAUGUGAAUGAUGAGCAUGAUUGCAAUGUUGUUAGUAUGAAUUGUUUGAAUACCCAUGAUGCUACUGAUAUGCAAAGCCACAAGCUUGGGGAUGCUAUGUUUGAUGAAGAUGAUAUGUUUAGUCCCCCAAGUUUUGAUGAGAAUAUUUAUUAUGAUGAAAGCAUGCCUCCUAUUUAUGAUGAUUAUAUUGAUGGAAGUGGGUUUGGAAGAGUGUAAAAUUUAGGAAGUAAUGAUCCCACUAUUUUGGAGGAUGUUGAAUAUUAUUGUGAUAAUUAUGAAAGUGGAUUUGGAGAGGUCAUGACUUUAUUUAGUGAUGAAUCCACUAUUUCGAAAGAGGUUCCAAUUGAUUAUGAGAACAAAGUUGCUACCUAUGACGAUUAUUGUGAUGACUUGUAUACUAUUAAGAAUAAUGAUAACCAUGAAACUUGUCAUCAUUAUUUUAGUUUUCAAUUGGAUUAUGCCUCACAUGAUAAUUAUUUUGUUGAGUUUGCUCCCACUAUUAUUCAUGAGAAGAAAUUUGCUUAUGUGGAGAGUAAUAAAAAUUAUAUGCUUGUAGAUCAUGAAAAGAAUGCUUUAUGUGAUGGUUAUAUUGUUGAAUUCAUUCAUGACGCUACUGAAAAUUAUUAUGAGGGAGGAAUAUAUGCUUGUAGGAAUUGCAAUAAUAUCAAGUUUCCUCUCUAUGUCCUUAAAAUCUUGAAGUUAUGCUUGUUUUGCCUUCCUAUGCUAGUUGAUUAUUGUUCCCAUAAGUUGUUUGCUCACAAAAUCCCUAUGCAUAGGAAGUGGGUUAUAUUUAAAUGUGCUAGUCAUAUUCUUCAUGAUGCUCUCUUUAUGUUUCAAUUCUUAUCUUUUAUGUGAGCAUCAUUGAAAUCAUCAUGCCUAGCUACGGGUGUUAAACGUUAGCGCUUGUUGGGAGGCAACCCAAUUUUAUUUUUGUUCUUUGCAUUUUGCUCCUGUUUAGUAAUAAAUAAUUCAUCUAGACUAUGUUUAUAUGUGGUUUUAUGUUUCAUUAGUGUUUGUGCCAAGUAGAACCUUUGGGAAGACUUGGGUUAAGUCUUUGCGAUCUUGCUGUAAAAAACAGAAACUUUUGCGCUCACGAGAUUAGCUACCAUUUUUUACUGAAGAGUGCUUUUAGGUUGAUUCUUUUUGCAGAUGAUUAAUAGACAAAUUCCUCAGGUCCACCAAUUUAUUUCAGAAUUUUUGGAGUUACAGAAGUAUUCGAAUGAUACAGAUUACUACAGACUGUUCUGUUUUUGACAGAUUCUGUUUUCUAUGUGUUGUUUGCUUAUUUUGAUGAAUCUGUGAGUAGUAUCGGAGGGUAUGAACCAUAUAGAAGUUGGAAUACAGUAGAUAUUACACCAGUAUGAAUUUAGAAUUAGUUCACAACAGUACCUAAGUGAUGAUUUAUUUUCUUAUAUUAACGGAGCUUACGAGUUUUCUGUUGAGUUUUGUGUUGUGAAGUUUUCAAGUUUUGGGUAAAGAUUCGAUGGACUAUGGAAUAAGGAGUGGAAAGAGCCUAAGCUUGGGGAUGCCCAAGGCACCCCAAGGUAAUAUUCAAGGACAACCAAGAGCCUAAGCUUGGGGAUGCCCCGGAAGGCAUCCCCUCUUUCGUCUUCGUCUAUCGGUAACUUUACUUGGAGCUAUAUUUUUAUUCACCACAUGAUAUGCAUUUUUCUUGGAGCAUCAUUUUAUUUUGUUUUGUUUUGCUUGCUGUUUGAUAAAUACCAAGAUCUGAAAUUCUUAAAUGUUAGAGAGUCUUCACAUAGUUACAUAAUUAUUCAACUACUCAUUGAUCUUCACUUAUAUCUUUUGGACUAGUUUGUCAUUUGCUCUAGUGCUUCACUUAUAUCUUCUUAGAGCAUGGUGGUAGUUUUAUUUUGAAGAAAGUGUUGAUCUCUCAUGCUUCACUUAUAUUAUUUUGAGAGUCUUUAGAACAGCAUGGUAAUUUGGUUUGGUUAUGAAUUUAGUCCUAAUAUGAUGGGCAUCUAAGAGGGAUAUAAUAAAAACUUUCAUAUAAAGUGCAUUGAAUACUAUGAGAAGUUUGAUUCCUUAUGAUUGUUUUGAGAUAUGAGGAUGGUAAAUAUUAGAGUCAUGCUAGUUAAGUAGUUGUGAAUUUGAGAAAUCUUUGUGUUGAGGUUUGCAAGUCCCGUAGCAUGCACGUAUGGUAACCGUUGUGUAACAAAUUUGAAGCAUGAAGUGUUUCGUUGAUUGCCUUCCUUAUGAGUGGAGGUUGGGGACGAGCGAUGGUCUUUUCCUACCAAUCUAUACCCCUAGGAGCAUGAAUGUAAUGCUUGGUUUCUAUGACUUGUAGAUUUUUGCAAUAAGUAUGUGAGUUCUUUAUGACUAAUGUUGAGUCCAUGGAUUAUACGCACUCUCACCCUUCCAUCAUUGCUAGCCUCUUCGGUACCGUGCAUUGCCCUUUCUCACCUCGAGAGUUGGUGCAAACUUCGCCGGUGCAUCCAAAUCCCGUGAUAUGAUACGCUCUAGCACACAUAAGCCUCCUUAUACCUUCCUCAAAACAGCCACCAUACCUACCUAUUAUGGCAUUUCCAUAGCCAUUCCGAGAUAUAUUGCCAUGCAACUUUCCACCGUUCCGUUUAUUAUUACACGCUUCAUCAUUGUCAUAUUGCCUUGCAUGAUCAUGUAGUUGACAUCGUAUUUAUGGCAAGGCCACCAUGCAUAAUUUUUCAGAUUCAUUCCCGGUACACCGCCGGAGGCACUCAUAUAGAGUCAUAUUUUGUUCUAGUAUCGAGUUGUGACGCCCCCGAUUUGACCGUACACUAAUCAUACACGCAAACGUGUACGAUCAAGAUCAGGGACUCACGGGAAGAUAUCACAACACAACUCUAAAAAUAAAAUAAGUCAUACAAGCAUCAUAAUACAAGCCAGGGGCCUCGAGGGCUCGAAUACAAGUGCUUGAUCAUAGGCGAGUCAGCGGAAGCAACAAUAUCUGAGUACAGACAUAAGUUAAACAAGUUGCCAUAAGAUGGUUAGCACAAACUGGUAUACAGAUCGAAAGAGGCGCAUGCCUCCUGCCUGGGACCCUCCUAAACUACUCCUGGUCAUCAUCAGCGGCCUGCACGUAGUAGUAGGCACCUCCGGUGUAGUAGGAGUCAUCGUCGAUGGUGGCGUCUGGCUCCUGGGCUCCAGCAUCUGGUUGCGACAACCAGGUAGAAUGAAAAGGGGGAAAAGAGGGAGAAAAGCAACCGUGAGUACUCAUCCAAAGUACUCGCAAGCAAGGAGCUACACUACAUAUGCAUGGGUAUAUGUGUAAAGGGCCAUAUCGGUGGACUGAACUGCAGAAUGCCAGAAUAAGAGGGGAUAGCUAAUCUUGUCGAAGACUACGCUUCAGGCCACCUCCAUCUUGUAGCAUGUAGAAGAGAGUAGAUGGUAAGUUCACCAAGUAGCAUCGCAUAGCGUAAACCUACCCGGUGAUCCCCUCCUCGUCGCCCUGUUAGAGAGCGAUCACCGGGUUAUAUCUGGCACUUGGAAGGGUGUGUUUUAUUAAGUAUCCGGUUCUAGUUGUCAUAAGGUCAAGGUACAACUCCAAGUCGUCCUGUUACCGAAGAUCACGGCUAUUCGAAUAGAUAAACUUCCCUGCAGGGGUGCACCACAUAACCCAACACGCUCGAUCCCAUUUGGCUGGACACACUUUCCUGGGUCAUGCCCGGCCUCGGAAGAUCAACACGUCGCAGCCCUACCUAGGCACAACAGAGAGGUCAGCACGCCGUUCUAAAUCCUAUGGCGCAGGGGUCUGGGCCCAUCGCCCAUUGCACACCUGCACGUUGCGUACGCGGCCGGAAGCAGACCUAGCCCCCUUAAUACAAGCACGAGCUUACGGUCCAAUGCGGCACGCGCCGCUCAGUCGCUGACGUCACGAAGGCUUUGGCUGAUACCACGACGUCGAGUGCCCAUAACUUUCCCACGUAGUUGGUUAGUGCGUAUAGGCCAGUGGCCAGACUCAGAUCAAAUACCAAGAUCUCGUUAAGCGUGUUAAGUAUCUGCGAAUGCCGACCAGGGCCAGGCCCACCUCUCUCCUAGGUGGUCUCAACCUGCCCUGUCGCUCCGCCAUAAAGUAACAGUCGGGGGCCAUCGGGAACCCAGGCCCACCUCUACCGGGAUGGAGCCACCUGCCCCUUCAGCCCCCAUCUCCAAACAGUAUCAUAAGUAAUGUAACAGUAUAAAGUAUAUAUCAUAUGCCCGUGAUCACCUCCCGAAGAGAUCACGGCCCAGUAGUAUAGCAUGGUAGACGGACAAGAGUGUAGGGCCACUGAUGGAACACUAGCAUCUUAUACUAAGCAGUAGGAUAGCAGGUAAGGGUAACAACUGUAGCAACAAUGACAGGCUAUGCAGCAGAAUAGGAUUAACCGAAAGCAGUAACAUGCUACACUACUCUAAUGCAAGCAGUAGAGAGAAGGAAUAGGCAAUAUCUGGUGACCAAGGGGGGGCUUGCCUGGUUGCUCAGACAAGAAGGAGGGGUCAUCGGUGACGUAGUCGACCACAGGGGCAUCAACAUCGUCACGGGGUCUACCGAAGAGAAGAGGGGGAGAAACAGUAAAUACAUAGCAAGCAAGUGCAUAACGGAACAACAGGCAGAGCUAGACGUGUUCUAACGCGGUAUGAGGUGAUACCGGUGAAGGGGGGAAACAUCCGGGAAAAUAUCCCCAGUGUUUCGCGUUUUCGGACAGAUGAAUCGGAGGGGAAAAGUUGCGUGUUCGCUAUGCUAGGGAUGCGUGGCGGACGAACGGGCUGCGUAACCGGAUUCGUCUCGUCGUUCUGAGCAACUUUCGUGUACAAAGUUUUUCAUCCGAGCUACGGUUUAUUUUAUAUUGAUUUUAAAAGAUUUAAAUCAUUUUUAGCAUUUAUUUAAUUAUUUUAAUCCAACAUUAUCCAGAACAGUGCACGCUGACGUCGACGUCAGCAGUCAACAGAGGCGUUGACUGGUCAACUGACGUGUGGGUCCCGUUCGUCAUUAACUGUUUAGUCCAAUUAGGGUUUAACUAAUCUAAUUAUUGUUUAAUUAAACUAACUAGUUAAUUAGAUUAAUUAAAUAGGAUUAAUUAACUUAAUUAAUUAAUUAAUUGUUUUAAUUAUUAUUUUUUAUUUUUUAUUCAUUUUUUUAAUGUUCCAGGGGCUGGGCCCCACUUGCCAUUGGCCCUGGGGGGCCAUAGCGGUUUUGGGCGCGGGUGCGGGCACGCGCCCGUCAGGGCGACCCCGUGUGAGCGGGCGACGGUUACGGGCAUGCGGGUGCGCGCCCGAGUCUACCCGGGAAGGGGACUCCGGCCAGGGUGGGGGCGCGACCGCGGCGGCGGGCGCCGGCUAUGGCGGAACGGCGCGGGGCCGGCGGGGCGAAGGAGGCGUGCGGCGGCACGCACGAGCUGCAGCGGUGGAGGUGGNNNNNNNNNNNNNNNNNNNNNNNNNNNNNNNNNNNNNNNNNNNNNNNNNNNNNNNNNNNNNNNNNNNNNNNNNNNNNNNNNNNNNNNNNNNNNNNNNNNNNNNNNNNNNNNNNNNNNNNNNNNNNNNNNNNNNNNNNNNNNNNNNNNNNNNNNNNNNNNNNNNNNNNNNNNNNNNNNNNNNNNNNNNNNNNNNNNNNNNNNNNNNNNNNNNNNNNNNNNNNNNNNNNNNNNNNNNNNNNNNNNNNNNNNNNNNNNNNNNNNNNNNNNNNNNNNNNNNNNNNNNNNNNNNNNNNNNNNNNNNNNNNNNNNNNNNNNNNNNNNNNNNNNNNNNNNNNNNNNNNNNNNNNNNNNNNNNNNNNNNNNNNNNNNNNNNNNNNNNNNNNNNNNNNNNNNNNNNNNNNNNNNNNNNNNNNAAGGCGCUGGCGGGAUGGGCGCUGGUAGCGCGCGGGCAGAGCGGCGCGGGCAGCGUGCGGCCAGGCCGAGCAGGAGGGGGACGGCGGAGCUGAGGCAACCAGGCGGCAGCACAGGCCAUGGCGGGGCAGGGAGGGGCAGAGCCGGAGCAGGGGUUCACGGGCGCGCGGGCCGACGAGGUGACAGCAGCGUCAACGAGUCGGAACAACGCGCGCGGGCGAGCAGCGGGGCCGCGAGCGGGGCGCCGGUCCAGGCUCGGCGCGGGGAGGAGGGGAGAAGUGGCCGGGGGCCUCACCAACGGUCGUGGGGUCAAGGCAGCGGGCUCGGGGAGGAGGACGACGAAUGGGCGACGUCCGGGUCGCUGGCGAGGCGACGGGGUCGAGGGCGCGGCGCAGGAAUGGCAGCCUCGGCACGGGACGAGUAGGAGGCCGAGGCACAGGGGGCGAUGGCGGCGUCGGCGGAGACGUCAGGCAGUGGUGGUCGGCGACGGGGAGGGUGGCGGCGGCCGGGGAGUGACGGCGUUGGGGGCGGCGGUGACCGGGCGUUGGCCCGAUCUCGAUCCCGUUCGGGAUGGGGAAAAGGGGAUCGUGGGGAGUGGGGGGCGAGUGGUGGAGUAGUGGGCUAGGGUUACCGUGGUGGGGGCUAAUAGGCAGGGGUGGGGUGGCUGGUUGGGCCUUUGCCCAGUUGGGCCAGCCCGCUGGGCCAUCUGGCCCAGUGAGGGGGGUCCUUUUCCUCUCUUCGGUUUCUUUUACUUUUUAUUUAUUUUUCUAAUUUUGUUUUCUUUUAGUUUCCAUUUAUCUUAGUUUUAGUAAAAUACCAAAGUGGCACCUAAGUAGAUGCUACAAAUUAUGCCACUGCCACAAUAGUUUAAUACUUAUAACAAUUUAGUUUUGAAAUUGUUUAUUAUUUUAAAAGCGUUUAAAUAAUUGUACUUGCUACCGUUUUAUUCAUUUUAUAGUAUUUAAACAUUUUAUAAAAGUGUGGUUUCUUCACCAGUAUUAUCCAUGAUUUAUUUGUCACAUUGAGAACAUUUUAGUUUUGACUUUUGAAAACUUUAAUUGUUUGACUUGAAUUCAAAUUCGAGUUUGAAUUGGUUUUGAACUAACGCGAGAUUAACAAUAGUAACCGUGGUGACAUGGCAUCAUUAACAUGUGAUUACUAUAGCCUAAUUAUCCGGGCGUCACAAUUCUCCUCCACUACAAGAAAUCUCGUCCCGAGAUUUAAGAGGUAGUGAAAGGGGGAAAGGUUUUGGUUACGAAUCUAGCGGGUCUUCUCAUCCCGGCUUGCUCUUCGUGAAGAAGUUGAUCCCUGUCGUUGAUGUCUUCAUUUUCCUACUUCAGGUCAUCUUGACGAAGUCGCAUCCUUUCUUCGGGGUCUGUCUCGUACUUACGAAUAGGUAAGGGGCAGUUUGACAAUGAUAGAAUGCUGUAAGGGUUAACCAUUGGGGGUCAUCCCAUGAAUGAACAUAGGGGUAUCUCUCGAGUUGGUCAAAUGAAACACAUCGAGAGCCAAGCAAGAAGGUAUAGUAAGAAGUAUCAAGCGGAAAGGCGAUCGUUCGGUGCCCAAUUAGAAGGUGAAAGGGUUUCAAGGCAUAAGAAUAAGUGCGUCUGAUACCAGAAUUGAUGAUCUCUCCGACGGUGGCUCGUGAAUCCCAUACGAGGCCACACGCGAGGAAUAACUUUGGGAACAGGGGGUAUAGGAGAGUCAGGUUUCGAUCCUGUGGAACUAUGGGUUAUGGGCCCACCAUGUGGGUUAAAAGUAGGAAGUGUGGUGACGUCUUGCACGAUCAUGUAAGCAAGGCAUGUCAGAGGAUAGCCUAUCAAUUAUGUCGGCCACGUCGGUACCAAGGGCGAGGGACGAAGAGAACCAUUUUCCUGCUUGUUGAACGAGGCGGACCAAUAGGCAAAGUUCUCGUCCAUCGGUGGCUAGCAGAAUGUCAUCAACAAUAGUAACAGGGUCUUGCUGACAGAAUUGUACAACGAGGUGUUUACAUAAGCAGGAGAAUAUUACUGCUUAGAUCAUAUAGAUCACAAGAAAGGUUAAACCAAACAAUGGAAAGGAAAAUAUGAUUAUCAGAUUAAACAGAACAAUGGAAAGGAAAAUGUGUUAAAACACAUAUUUCAGGGGCAUUUCCUUCCCAAGGACAAACAGAGUAUGAUAUCCGUGACAGGAUAUAAUGUAGAAAACCCUCUAGGUAGGGGGAGAGAAAUUUUCAUGACAUUACCGAUACAACGGUGUUUGGAUAACUGAGCAAGAAACAAUUAGCAUUGGGAUAAGUGUUCUUGUUGAAAAUCGGAGUACCACAGACAUGCUUCGAGAUAGCAUUGACAUGGUCUUCAAGCAAAGGUCAUACUUGGAUACAAAAAGGAUUCAUCAAGAACAACAUAUAGAAUAAGUCUUACAAUUUCCUUAUGGAAGAAUGGGUAACAUUGCUGAAGAGGAUACUAUAACAAUAGGUCCUCCGGUCAAGUGUGCUAGGCAUGACAUCACCUUACCGGGUUAUAUAAAGACCAAUGUUAUAACUCCUGAAAAUAUGCUCCAACCAUCAUAUCUGACCGAGAUUCAGAUUUGAUCGGUGUUAGGAUACCUCAGACUCAGCAUGCCUGAGAAGAAAAGGUGCAAAACAAAUUGAUGAGACGACAUUGUAAGAUUCUCGGGAAAUGAACGAUGGAAGCAAGUUCCGAAACCAGAGUUCAGCAUUAAACCAAGGAGAGGAUGAGGAGUUGGCUGAUGAACUCAGCGACAAUUCAAUGAGAUUUCCAAAAGAUGGAUUUCCACAAUUAUGUGAACAAGGAGAUAACAUUAGUCAGAUCAAAUGAUAUAAUGAUGUAUGCUCGAGGAAAACAUCCACAAUUAAACAUUGGUUGACAGGUGCACCCGAAAUAUGGCUGGGUCGCAUGAACAAUGUUAGAAUGGUGACUUAAUGAACAAAAGAAUUAGAAUGAAACUAUCAAUCAUUCACUUCAAAGCAUUAGGGUUGCUAGAAGUUUUGAAUUCACACCUCAAGUUCAAUUGUCGGUAUUCCGAUUCGAAUCAACACGGGGACCAAGAAAUGAACGGAGAUGGCGAGAAGUAAUACUAUAACAAGAAUCCUUAAGAGGUGGGGCAUUCCCAUGACAUUCUCGACAUAACAGAUGGUAAUACUCCAAGGUAGAACACAGCAUAAGCUGGAUGGCAAGGAACCCAAGGUGUAAUACAAAACACGAACAAGUUUGUGUUGGAGAGAAGGCAAGGAUGUUGUCGAUGGUAACUCAAAUUACCAAGGAACAAGGGUGGUACUUAUCAUCAUGAAUUCGAUUGGUAUCCUGGAAGGAUUCAAAAUGUUGAUGAUGACCACGACAAUUUUUGUCGAGAGAUUUCAUGAGGAUGUAAUCGAUCAGCGAUGACAUCAAGUCAAAGGGAUGAUGAAGCAAGAGAUCAAUGGAAGCACAGGUACAACACAAACUUGAAAUCAAGCUUGCUGUUCAAGGUGAAAUUAUAUGACAAGGAAAUUCAACGUAAGCUUAGCUCAUUGUCGAAAAUUGUGCUCCGGGAAGGACCAGGUAGUACAGUUAAAAUUGGCACAAUAAUGAUGUAGCCGAUCAGGCUAGGAAUGAGUUGAAAGAUUAUUAAAUCAUAAGCAACGAAACUUACUUAGAGUUAUUGAAUCGGAGUGCGGUAUCGAUUCACUUAACGGUGUUCUCGAGUGACUAAUAACUAAGAACCCGAGGGAAAUUGGAAUUGGCGAGAAUAAUAGUUGAUGAAGAACUCAUAAGAAGUUAUGUAGUUCCAUGGUAUUCUUAAGAUACCAGAGUGUAAUGCUCGACGGUAGAUCAAAGGGUUGGACAGGUGCAAUGAUCUGCAGAAGACAAGUACUUCAACUUGUCCGAGAAAUGGUAUUUAAAAGGAGAACAUGGCCGGAACAACGGUUGCAAAAUGCUAGAUCCCAGAUAUAAGAUAAACUUAUACCAAGGAAAUAUUUAUUUGAAGAGAAGCUUUAAUGAUACGAUCUACAUUGUUUCCAUGGGCAUGAACACAAAGUUCAAGGUCGACUCCCACUUCUCCAAUGCGAGACCAUUCAUUCACUGCUCUAAUAAAAAUGAUUUCAGUGUGAAAACCUACCGGGUGAAUUACUAGAGGAGUAUGACCCGUGAAAAGUUUUUGGGUCAAACAGAUUAAGGAAGGCAUAAGGUUCAACCCAUCGGGAUAUCUUAGUAACAUAUACCACAAGUUCCAAGAGUAAAUAUCACCAGCUCGAAAGCAGAGCAUGGUUGGCCAAAUCAGAGAAUAGGAUUUACUAAUGGCAUUAUGUAUCAGGGAAGAAUUCACAAGGCGAUUAAAUAUGAAGGACAUUGCCGAAUAAUAAUCCAACAAAGGAUUUGACGGUCGAUAGCGGAGCUGAUGUGAGCAUCGGCACACAACCAGUUGAAGAAAGAAUGCAAGGGCAUCAUAUUAUAGAACAUCUGAAUGAUUCGAUGCUUAGAUAUCAAAGGAAUUAUGAUUUCCAAAUCGAAGGAUUAGAAGAGGACGCUCUGAUCAAAGGGUGGAUAAGUUCAAUAGACCUAAGGGUACAAUUGACGGCAAAUAGAUUGGUCGAGAACAAGCUCAUGUUUAAAAUGACGUCUGAGCCAAAAAGAUAAUUUAAAAGGAUCAACUGAUGAUUGCGUGCAUUCGCACUCAGGUUGAAUCAAUAGGAUCAAAAUGAUGGUGCCUAAGGAUACUAACGAAUAUUGCCAGACAUAUAGAAAGCAUCCAUAAUGCAAGCAGAUAAAGAAGAUCAAGAGCAAUAGGCUACUGAGGAUUUCGGAAGACCGAAUGGCAUUUCAAAGAAUUUUGCGGAACACCUGAACAACUGGGGAUGAACGAAUCCCCAAUAAGGGUGAGGAAUUAUUCAUACAUGUAUUCAUGAGGAAAAGGAGCUGCAAGGCAGUAAGCACAAAGGAUUCUCGGAACAGCGGGAAGUAGUUCAAGGUAUCUUGUACUAACAAGAGUAAUCGAGAAUGAAGGUAUGGAUGGCAAGUAUAAGUAGCUAUCCAUAGGGAUGUCUCGGUGGUAGUGAAUUUACAAAGGCGGCGGGCACAAGUGUCCCGGUGCAGCAGGCGAUCAUCUGUAAUAAGGGGCUCUCCGGGUGGAAGUAGUUACGAGAACCUAAAGUCAGAGUAAGUAAAAUCGUUUAACCCGAAUAGAAGAGAUGUCAGAGUCCCAGAGUAUAGGUCGAGAAAUAAAAGAUCCUAAUACCACCCAAUGGCGACGUGGGCCCGUAAGCCGCACAACCAUGUUAGUAAAAACUUUUUCAAUGACUAGACUCAACUUCGGCCAAGGAGGUGAAAAGGGGGAUUCCUACAGGUAGUCGGCUCUGAUACCAACUUGUGACGCCCCCGAUUUGGCCGUACACUAAUCAUACACGCAAACGUGUACGAUCAAGAUCAGGGACUCAUGGGAAGAUAUCACAACACAACUCUAAAAAUAAAAUAAGUCAUACAAGCAUCAUAAUACAAGCCAGAGGCCUCGAGGGCUCGAAUACAAGUGCUCGAUCAUAGGCGAGUCAGCGGAAGCAACAAUAUCUGAGUACAGACAUAAGUUAAACAAGUUGCCAUAAGAUGGCUAGCACAAACUGGUAUACAGAUCGAAAGAGGCGCAAGCCUCCUGCCUGGGAUCCUCCUAAACUACUCCUGGUCGUCGUUAGCGGCCUGCACGUAGUAGUAGGCACCUCUGGUGUAGUAGGAGUCAUCGUCGACGGUGGCGUCUGGCUCCUGGGCUCCAGCAUCUGGUUGCGACAACCAUGUAGAAGGGAAAGGGGGGAAAAAGAGGGAGAAAAGUAACCGUGAGUACUCAUCCAAAGUACUCGCAAGCAAGGAGCUACACUACAUAUGCAUGGGUAUAUGUGUAAAGGGCCAUAUCGGUGGACUGAACUGCAGAAUGCCAGAAUAAGAGGGGGAUAGCUCAUCAUGUCGAAGACUACGCUUCAGGCCGCCUCCAUCUUGUAGCAUGUAGAAGAGAGUAGAUGGUAAGUUCACCAAGUAGCAUCGCAUAGCGUAAAAAUACCCGGUGAUCCCCUCCUCGCCGCCUUAUUAGAGAGCGAUCACCGGGUUAUAUCUAGCACUUGGAAGGGUGUGUUUUAUUAAGUAUCCGGUUCUAGUUGUCAUAAGGUCAAGGUACAACUCCAAGUCGUCCUGUUACCGAAGAUCACGGCUAUUCGAAUAGAUAAACUUCCCUGCAUGGGUGCACCACAUAACCCAACACGCUCGAUCCCAUUUGGCCGGACACACUUUCCUGGGUCAUGCCCGGCCUCGGAAGAUCAACACGUCGCAGCCCUACCUAGGCACAACAGAGAGGUCAGCACGCCAGUUUAAAUCCUAUGGCGCAGGGGUCUGGGCCCUUCGCCCAUUGCACACCUGCACGUUGCGUACGCGGCCGGAAGCAGACCUAGCCCCCUUAAUACAAGCGCGAGCUUACGGUCCAAUGCGGCGCGCGCCGCUCAGUCGCUGACGUCACGAAGGCUUCGGCUGAUACCACGACGUCGAGUGCCCAUAACUUUCCCGCGUAGUUGGUUAGUGCGUAUAGGCAAGUGGCCAGACUCAGAUCAAAUACCAAGAUCUCGUUAAGCGUGUUAAGUAUCCGCGAAUGCCGACCAGGGCCAGGCCCACCUCUCUCCUAGGUGGUCUCAACCUGCCCUGUCGCUCCGCCACAAAGUAACAGUCGGGGGCCGUCGGGAACCCAGGCCCACCUCUACCGGGAUGGAGCCACCUGCCCCUUCAGCCCCCAUCUCCAAACAGUAUCAUAAGUAAUGUAACAGUAUAAAGUAUAUAUCAUAUGCCCGUGAUCACCUCCCGAAGUGAUCACGGCCCAGUAGUAUAGCAUGGCAGACGGACAAGAGUGUAGGGCCACUGAUGGAACACUAGCAUCUUAUACUAAGCAGUAGGAUAGCAGGUAAGGGUAACAACUGUAGCAACAAUGACAGGCUAUGUAGCAGAAUAGGAUUAACCGAAAGCAGUAACAUGCUACACUACUCUAAUGCAAGCAGUAGAGAGAAGGAAUAGGCGAUAUCUGGUGAUCAAGGGGGGGCUUGCCUGGUUGCUCAGACAAGAAGGAGGGGUCGUCGGUGACGUAGUCGACCACAGGGGCAUCAGCAUCGUCACGGGGUCUACCGAAGAGAAGAGGGGGGAGCAGCAGUAAAUACAUAGCAAGCAAGCGCAUAACGGAAGAACAGGCAGAGCUAGACGUGUUCUAACGCGGUAUGAGGUGAUACCGGUGAAGGGGGGAAACAUCCGGGAAUAUCCCCGGUGUUUCGUGUUUUCGGACAGAUGAAUGAGAGGGGAAAAGUUGCGUGUUCGCUAUGCUAGGGAUGUGUGGCGGACGAACGGGUUGCGUAACCGGAUUCGUCUCGUUGUUCUGAGCAACUUUCAUGUACAAAGUUUUUCCAUCCGAGCUACGGUUUAUUUUAUAUUGACUUUAAAAGAUUUAAAUCAUUUUUAGCAUUUAUUUAAUUAUUUUAAUCCAACAUUAUCCAGAACAGUGCACGCUGACGUCAGCAUGACGUCAGCAGUCAACAGAGGCGUUGAAUGGUCAACUGACGUGUGGGUCCCGUUCGUCAUUGACUGUUUAGUCUAAUUAGGGUUUAACUAAUCUAAUUAUUGUUUAAUUAAACUAACUAGCUAAUUAAAUUAAUUAAAUAGGAUUAAUUAACUUAAUUAAUUAAUGAAUUAAUUAAUUUAAUUAUUUUUUAUAUUCAUUUUUUUAAUGUUCCACGGGCUGGGCCCCACUUGUCAUUGGCCCUGGGGGGCCAUAGCGGUUUUGGGUGCGGGUGCGGGCACGUGCCAGUCAGGGCGACCCCGGGUGAGCGGGCGACGGUUACGGGCGUGCGGGUGCGCGCCCGAGUCUACCCGGGAAGGGGACUCCGGCCAGGGUGGGGGCGCGACCGCGGCGGCGGGCGCCGGCUGUGGCGGAACGGCGCGGGGCCGGCGGGGCGAAGGAGGCGCGCNNNNNNNNNNNNNNNNNNNNNNNNNNNNNNNNNNNNNNNNNNNNNNNNNNNNNNNNNNNNNNNNNNNNNNNNNNNNNNNNNNNNNNNNNNNNNNNNNNNNNNNNNNNNNNNNNNNNNNNNNNNNNNNNNNNNNNNNNNNNNNNNNNNNNNNNNNNNNNNNNNNNNNNNNNNNNNNNNNNNNNNNNNNNNNNNNNNNNNNNNNNNNNNNNNNNNNNNNNNNNNNNNNNNNNNNNNNNNNNNNNNNNNNNNNNNNNNNNNNNNNNNNNNNNNNNNNNNNNNNNNNNNNNNNNNNNNNNNNNNNNNNNNNNNNNNNNNNNNNNNNNNNNNNNNNNNNNNNNNNNNNNNNNNNNNNNNNGGAGCUGAGGCAACGAGGUGGUAGCACAGGCCAUGGCGGGGCAGGGAGGGGCAGAGCCGGAGCGGGGGUUCACGGGCGCGCGGGCCGACGAGGUGACAGCAGCGUCGGCGAGUCGGAACAACGCGCGCGGGCGAGCAGCGGGGCCGCGAGCGGGGCGCCGGUCCAGGCUCGGCGCGGGGAGGAGGAGAGAAGUGGCCGGGGGCCUCACCGACGGUCGUGGGGUCAAGGCAGCGGGCUCGGGGAGGAGGACGACGAAGGGGCGACGUCCGGGUCGCCGGCGAGGCGACGGGGUCGAGGGCGCGGUGCAGGAAUGGCGGCCUCGGCACGAGACGAGGAGGAGGCCGAGGCACGCGAGGCGAUGGCGGCGUCGACGGAGACGUCAGGGAGCGGUGGUCGGCGACGGGGAGGGCAGCGGCGGCCGGGGAGUGACGGCGUUGGGGGCGGCGGCGACCGGGCGUUGGCCCGAUCUCGAUCCCGUUCAGGAUGGGGAAAAGGGGAUCGUGGGGAGUGGGGGUGCGAGUGGUGGAGUAGUGGGCUAGGGUUACCGUGGUGGGGGUAUAGGCAGGGGUGGGGGUGGCCAGUUGGGCCUUUGCCCAGUUGGGCCGGCCAGCUGGGCCAUCUGGCCCAGUGGGGGGGGGUCCUUUUCCUCUCUUCGGUUUCUUUUACUUUUUAUUUAGUUUUCUAAUUUUGUUUUCUUUUAGUUUCCAUUUAUCUUAGUUUUAGUAAAAUACCAAAGUGGCACCUAAGUAGAUGCUACAAAUUAUGCCACUACCACAAUAGUUUAAUACUUAUAACAAUUUAGUUUUGAAAUUGUUUGUUAUUUUAAAAGUGUUUAAAUAAUUGUACUUGCUACCGUUUUAUUCAUUUUAUAGUAUUUAAACAUUUUAUAAAAGUGUGGUUUCUUCACCAGUAUUAUUCAUGAUUUAUUUGUCACAUUGAGAGCAUUUUAGUUUUGACUUUUGAAAACUUUAAUUGUUUGACUUGAAUUCAAAUUCGAGUUUGAAUCGGUUUUGAACUAACGCGAGAUUAACAAUAGUAACCGUGGUGACAUGGCAUCAUUAACAUGUGAUUACUGUAGCCUAAUUAUUCGGGCGUCACAGUUCUAGUAUCGAGUUGUAACCCUUGAGUUGUAAAUAAAUAGAAGUGUGAUGAUCAUCAUUAUUAGAGCAUUGUCCCGUGUGAGAAAAAAAAGAGAAAGGCCAAAAAAAGAGAAAGGCCAAAUAAAAAAAAGGAAGGCCCAAAAAAUGAGAGAAAAAGAGAGAAGGGGCAAUGUUACUAUCCUUUUUCCACACUUGUGCUUCAAAGUAGCACCAUGAUCUUCAUGAUAGAGAGUUUCUUAUUUUGUCACUUCCAUAUACUAGUCGGAAUCUUUCAUUAUAGAACUUGGCUUGUAUAUUCCAACGAUGGGCUUCCUCAAAAUGCCCUAGGUCUUCGUGAGCAAGCAAGUUGGAUGCACACCCACUUAGUUUCUUUUGUUGAGCUUUCAUACAUUUAUAGCUCUAGUGCAUCCGUUCCAUGGCAAUCCCUACUCCUCGCAUUGACAUCAAUUGAUGGGUAUCUCCAUAACCCGUUGAUUGGCUGCGUCGAUGUGAGACUUUCUCCCUUUUUGUCUUCUCCACACAACCCCCAUCAUCAUACUCUAUUCCACCUAUAGUGCUAUGUCCUUGGCUCGCGCUCAUGUAUUGCGUGAAAGUUGAAAAAGUUUGAGAGUACUAAAGUAUGAAACAAUUGCUUGGCUUGUCAUCGGGGUUGUGCAUGAUGAGAGCAUUUUUGUGUGACGAAAAUGAAGCAUAGCCAAACUAUAUGAUUUUGUAGGGAUGAGCUUUCUUUGGCCAUGUUAUUUUGAGAAGACAUAAUUGCUUAGUUAGUAUGCCCGAAGUAUUAUGAUUUUUAUGUCAAUAUUAAACUUUUGUCUUGAAUCUUUUGGAUCUGAACAUUCAUGCCACAAUAAAGAAGAUUACAUUGAUAAAUUAUGUUAGGUAGCAUUCCACAUCAAAAAAUUUGUUUUUAUCAUUUACCUACUCGAGGACGAGCAGGAAUUAAGCUUGGGGAUGCUUGAUACGUCUCCAACGUAUCUAUAAUUUUUGAUUGUUCCAUGCUAUUAUAUUAUCCAUCUAGGAUGUUUUAUAUGCAUUUAUAUGCUAUUUUAUAUGAUUUUUGGGACUAACCUAUUAACCUAGAGCCCAAUGCAUGUUUCCUUGUUUUUGAGUAUCGCAGAAAAGGAAAACCAAACGGAGUCCAAUUGACCUAAAAUUUCACGGAGAUUAUUUCUGGACCAGAAGAAGCCCACGGAGUAUCGGAGAUGGGCCAGAAGAGUCCCGAGGCACCCAUGAGGGUGGGGCGCGCCCUACCCCCUGGGCGCGCCCCCUACCUUGUGGCCGCCUCGGAGACCCCCCUGACUUGUUCCCGACGCCAAAAAUCCCUAUAAAUAUAGAAACCCCCGAAAAGAAACCUAGAUCGGGAGUUCCGCCGCCGCAAGCCUCUGUAGCCACCAAAAACCAAUCGGGACCCUGUUCCGGCACCCUGCCGGAGGGGGGAUCCCUCACCAGUGGCCAUCUUCAUCAUCCCGACGCUCUCCAUGACGAGGAUGGAGUAGUUCACCCUCGGGGCUGAGGGUAUGUACUAGUAGCUAUGUGUUUGAUCUCUCUCUCUCUCUCGUGUUCUUGAUUUGGCACGAUCUUGAUGUAUGUUUGAAUAGAAUUGUAUUAACUGGAAACACAUAGCUAUUUUAUCAUGAUAAAUUUUUGUUAUUCAUGCUAGAAUUGUAUUAACCGGAAACUUGAUACAUGUGUGGAUACAUAGAAAAAACACAGUGUCCCUAGUAUGCCUCUACUAGACUAGCUCGUUAAUCAAAGAUGGUUAAGUUUCCUAACCAUAGACAUGUGUUGUCAUUUGAUGAACGGGAUCACAUCAUUAGGAGAAUGAUGUGAUGGACAAGACCCAUCCGUUAGCUUAGCAUAAUGAUCGUUAAGUUUUAUUGUUAUUGCUUUCUUCAUGACUUACACAUAUUCCUUUGACUAUGAGAUUAUGCAACUCCCGAAUACCGGAGGAAAUACCUUGUGUGCUACCAAACGUCACAACGUAACUGGGUGAUUAUAAAGAUGCUCUACAGGUAUCUCCGAAGGUGUUUGUUGGGUUGGCAUAGAUCAAGAUUGGGAUUUGUCACUCCGAGUAUCAGAGAGGUAUCUCUGGGCCCUCUAGGUAAUGCACAUCAUGAUAAGCCUUGCAAGCAAUGUGACUAAUGAGUUAGUUGCGGGAUGAUGCAUUACGGAACGAGUAAAGAGACUAGCUGGUAACAAGAUUGAAUUAGGUAUGAAGAUACCGACGAUCGAAUCUUGGGCAAGUAACAUACCGAUGACAAAAGGAAUUACAUAUGUUGUCAUUACGGUUUGACCGAUAAAGAUCUUCGUAGAAUAUGUAGGAACCAAUAUGAGCAUCCAGGUUCCGCUGUUGGUUAUUGUCCGGAGAGGUGUCUCGGUCAUGUCUACAUAGUUCUCGAACCCAUAGGGUCCGCACGCUUAACGUUCAAUGACGAUUUGUAUUAUAUGAGUUAUGUGAUUUGGUGACCGAAUAUUGUUUGGAGUCCCGGAUGAGAUCACGGACAUGAUGAGGAGUCUCGAAAUGGUCAAGAGGUAAAGAUUCAUAUAUAGGACAAUAGUAUUCGGACACCGGAAGUGUUCUGGGGGUGCCGGGUACGUAUCGGGUCACUGAAAGGGGUUCCGGGCAACCCCCAGCAAGCUAUAUGGGCCUAAUGGGCCAAGAGUUGGACAGACCAGCCCCAAAAGGGGCUGGUGCGCCCCCUAUAGGCCGAAUAGGAGGAGAAGGAAAGGAAGGGAAGGGAGAAGGAAAGGGGAGGAUUCGGCCUCCCCCUUUCCUUCCCCUCCCCCCUCUCUUUCCUUCCCCCUCCGAUGGAUAUGGAAGGGGGAGGCCGACUUGGAGGAGGCGCCCAAGUAGGAUUACUCCUACUUGGGGCGCCCCUUGCAGCCCCUAUCCCUCUCCCACCUGUAUAUAUGUGGGGGGGACCGCUAGAACACACAACAUUGAUUCCUAGCCGUGUGCGGCGCCCCCCUCCACAGUUUACGCCUCCUGUCAUAUUCACAUAGUGCUUAGGCGAAGCCCUGCGCGGAUCACUUCACCAUCACCGUCACCAUGCAGUCGUGCUGAUGGAACUCUCCCUCGACACUUUGCUGGACCAAGAGUUCGAGGGACGCCAUCGAGCUGAACAUGUGCAGAACUCGGAGGUGACGUACGUUCGGUGCUUGAUCGGUCGGAACGAGAAGAAGUUCGACUACAUCAACCACAUUGUCAAACGCUUCCGCUUUCGUUCUACGAGGGUACGUGGACACACUCUCCUCCUCUCGUUGCUAUGCAUCUCCUAGAUAGAUCUUGCGUGAUCGUAGGAAUUUUUUUGAAAUUGCAUGCUACGUUCCCCAACAUAAACCCGGUCAGCGGAAGAAGCCGUUCAAAGGAACUAGGGACGGUCCAUCUAAUUUAGACAAAUACUGGAUAGGCCUUGCCAGAUCCUUGGCGCUUCUGACAAGCCUGCCAACCACACCAACAGAAACUGCUGGGUUUUUAAACAGGCCGGUAAAUUAAAUACCGAACAUAAGGGGAAGGGACCUCAAAUCGAGGAUGAUGAUGAGCCUCGCCCUCCGAACACUGGGGGACAGAAGAAGUUUCCCCCCGAGGUGAAAAUGGUGAACAUGAUAUAUGUCAACCAUAUCCCCAAGAGGGAGCACAAACGCGCAUUAAGGGACGUCUAUGCCAUAGAACCCGUCGCCCCAAAAUUCAACCCAUGGUCGGCUUGUCCGAUCACCUUUGAUCGCAGGGACCACCCAACCAGUAUCUGUCACGGAGGUUCGGUGGCCCUGGUACUCGAUCCUAUCAUCGACGGAUACCAUCUCACUAGAGUCCUUAUGGACGGCGGCAGCAGUCUCAACUUGAUCUAUCAAGAUACUGUCCGUAAGAUGGGUAUUGACCCAUCAAGAAUCAAGCCUAGUAACACUACCUUUAAAGGCGUGAUGCCCGGCGUGGAGGGCCGUUGCACGGGUUCCUUAACACUGGAAGUAGUAUUUGGCUCUCCAGACAACUUCCGAAGUGAGGAAUUGAUCUUUGACAUCGUCCCUUUUCGCAGUGGUUAUCAUGCACUGCUUGGGCGAACUGCUUUCGCCCGCUUUAAUGCAGUCCUGCACUAUGCUUAUUUGAAGCUCAAAAUGCCCGGACCACGUGGCAUCAUCAUAGUAAAUGGAAAUAUGGAGCACUCCCUCCGUACAGAGGAGCACACCGCGACCCUAGUAGCUGAGGUACAAGGCGGCCUCAUCAAGCUGAAUAGUUCAUCUGUCAUCAAGACCCAGGACACUGCUAAGCGAGUCUGAUCUGCAUUAUAGUGCGGUAGCUCGGUGGAUCCUGAGCUUGAAUAGCAGUUUCGCCUCCGCCAAUCGCCCUAUGAGGUUGCGGCAUACGUACCGCGCGUACAUAACUACGCACUUAAAAUACCUUUGGCAGCGCCGGAGGCACACUGCGGAAAAGGUCCAUAGUACGGCUUGACCCUAUUCGGACCUUCCAUAUUUUUCCCCUACAGGUUAGUUAAAAACCUGCCUACUCUAUGAUUGUACAGGGGCUCUUUUCUAGGUCCCUCUUUCUUGCAGACGACCAUCAACUCCUCCUCUCUAAGGAUUUCUCACCAAGGAGAAAUGAAGCAGACGUGAAGCAGGGCACCAUUGGGAUCUUCGAACCAAUACUUUUAGGCCCUGCGUAAACCUUUCCCUUGUGUAAAACUCUUGGCAUGUAAAAUGGCCUCGAUAUUUAUGGCAUUAUUUGUAACAACACGUCUCGACGUAUUAAGCAGGGUAGAAAGGAAGCAGUCGAUCACCACUUUUGUUUGGUACUCAUUUAUUGCAUAUUAUCAUCUGUAUUCCCUCCCUACUUUAGACUGCCACACGUGCUUUGGUCCGGCCUUAUCACCGGGGGUUGUAUUCGGCCCUGCACAUUUUCAAGUCUGAACACCUAUAGGGUACUCUUCGGCGUCCUGGAUAUUGCAUUAUAUGCAUCAGCUCUGAGUCAUGUCUUUGGUCUAUAGUUGGGUUGCCCGGCUCCUGUGCUUACCACCUUACGUUCCGCUCGUUCGGCUAAGGUAGUAAAGGGAGAACUACUUCGAUUGUAUUUCUAGUUCGUUCGGUCAAGUACCUCAGUAGAGAAAGCCGAAAACUGACUGUCGUGAUAAGCGAGAGUUGGUCGGCGAUUCAGCGACUUAGUCUUAUACUACAAAUCGUUAGCGAUUCACUCCAUGUUAUACGAGGGGCUGGUCUUCGUCCAGCCACGUGGAAAAGGCACCAUCGUCCGGAUAGCCGCACACGCACCAGGGGCUAGUACUUAUCUCCACAGUCAAACUCAUAUGGCUAAGUGAAAGUAAUAAAGCCGCAUAGUCCAAUUGCCUGGUUCACCUUGCAGACACCUCCUUGACGGACCAAGACGUUGGAUAAAGUGUGGUCAUGCGUUACAUCGAACACCCCUGUAACAUCUACAUGGGGGCUGAAGCCGACGACUGGCAACUUUCAGAAAUAAAACAAUAAACGGCCGCAUAGGAGGCAAAUCGCUUAAAACAAAAGGCACAAACAUGGAUAUGUAAACAUCAUGGGUUCAUCACAUUGUUUGUACAACCCGAACACAUUUUAAUCAAAUAUUAUGUCCUUAGAACAUUGGCCCUCUACUACUCGGGCUCCUUCUAGGGCGUCGUCGAAGUACCUCUCCGGCUUCUGAUGAUCUUUGCCUUCGGGCGGGCCUGCGGUUGCCACUUCGGCAGCCUUCAUCUUCGCCCAUUGCAUCUUGACAUGGGCGAAGGCCAUCCGGGCACCCUCUAUGCAGGCCGAGCGCUAAACAACAGCAAUCCUAGGCCACACAUCGAUAAGAUGCUUCACCAAACCGAAGUAGCUACUAGGGAUCGGCUCGGCCGGCCAGAGCUGGACUAUCAGGUCCUUCAUGGACAAGCCUGCCACCCUAUGCAGCUCCGUCAGUUGCUUCAGGUUAUCGUUCAGAGGUGUCGGGUGUUCCGGCGUGAGAAAUUGCAACCAGAACAGCUUCGGUCGAGUUCCCCUCCUGGGCUCGGAAGAACAGUGCGGCAUCGGCAACACUCCUCAGAAGAUCCGCAAACGCGCCUGGAGAACUCCAUACUCGGGUGAGCAAAGCAUACCUCUGACCUCCAAAGAUACUCUGCAAAAGAAAGGCCUUACCAGCCGCUAUCUGCCUCGCCUGGUGGAUCUCAUCAUGAGCACUCCGGGGCUCGAUCCGCGCCUCUUUGGCAUCAUGGAGAGCCUUGGCGAGCUUAGUCGACUGGUCUGAAGUCUUUUGCUCCAAAGUUUAGCAUUUGUUGAUGGCAUCCUUCAGCUCCUGCUCGACUUCGGCCACCCGAGCUUCGUGUUGGCGGUGGGCAGCUUGCUCGAUCUUCAGUUCAGCAGCCGCCUUGUCAGCGACUGCCUUAUUCGCCUCCGCCUCUUUUUUGGCCUGGGCAAGGGCUCCUUUGAGGGUCUCGACCUCGGCUGCGCCAGCUGUGAUCAUAAUCAAAAGCAUUCCACGGGUUAAUCUCUAAAUAUGCAUAUCACUUUUGAUAUAAAAUUAAAACGUUUAAACAUUAUACGCAUACCUUGUGUCUCGUCGAACUGCUUGUUAAUGCAGUAGAUUUCCUCAUCAGCCACCUGAAGCUUCCGAUUGAGUUCGGAAACUUCUGCGGCCUGAGCGGUUGCCGCCAAUAGGGAAGCCUGUUACAACAACAGAGCAACAUGUUAACUCUCCCUUAUACUAUGUGGAUCCUCUGUCCUGUUUCUUUUAAAAACCGGACAGAGCCUCAGGGGCUACUGGCUGUACACGGGUAUAUCCUUCUAUAUGAAAAGUUUUUUCAGAGCAUUGCGUCUCAUACCUCAAAGCCCAUCAGUAGGCUGGUGAAGGCUUCGUUCAGUCCGCUUUUAGCAGACUGAACCUUCUCUACCACUGCACCCAUCAGGGUGCGGUGCUCCGCUACGAUGGAAGCACGUCCCAGUGCUUCCUCCAGAGCGUUGGGCGCCUCCGGAUUAGUGGAUGCCGCAGGUGGAGUUGAUGCUCCUCCCCCCUCUUUCAAAGGGGGCUGCUCAUCCGAUCCUGGAGCCACGUUGGUCUCCGGAAUGGUGUUCGGCUGGGGCCCGAAUUGUUGGGGCUCCCCACUGUCGGUUGUCAUAGGGGUCGCCUCCCCUAAGUCUUCGACGACCGAGGUAUUAACCUCGGGUGCCUUCUCGACGGCCUCGCUCGCCCCCCCCCUCGGCUAGGAGAGGUCCUUCAGGACGACACUUCAGUGUCCUCCAUGGUGAUAGGCGAGGGGGCUCGCGGCGGCGUGUCACUCUCUUGCCAUUUCGGGUGGCAGAGAGUUCCCCUCCGAUAACGGAGUUUGCGGGAGCUCGCGGGGAGGGCUGAAAGAUAAAUAACAAAAUAACUUAUGCAAUGAAAACAUGUAGAUCAAAGAUACAUGAGUAAGUUUAUGAAUACUUACGAUUCGGCCAGGGGCUUCACCCUGGGAGGUCUCUUGGGGACUAGUUCGGACUCUGAGUCCGAACUGUCCGAGAGGCUCACCUUCCCUCUCUUGGGCGCCUCGCCCUCCGGGUCUUCGGAGGUCACCCUCUUCUUCUUCUUCUUCCCCUUAUGAGGGGAGUCGCUUUCCACCUCCUCCUCCUCUUCCUCCUCGUCUUCCUUGUGGGAAGAGGGGGCUUCGGUCUCUCCGAACACUGCGUCCGAAGGACCUUUGUGGCGGGGGCCACCCUUGGCCUCCUUGCCCUUCUUCUUCUUGACCUUCUUCUCCGGCGCCUGAUAGGGCGCCGGGACCAGCAUCUCCGUUAGCUGGGGUGUGGCCGAGUUCUCAGGCAGUGGUGCCGGAUAAUUGAUCCGCUCCGCCUUUGCCGUCCAGACUUGUACGAAAGGCAGGCAAUGUAAUCUACAUUAUAUCUAAAAUAUUGACCGGAUAAGUCUUCGGAAAAGUUAUGCUUACCACUGAGGCCGGGUUCUCGAUGUCGAACCCGAUGUCCUCGGUCUUCUUCCGCCAUGUUUUUUGUGCCUUGAAAAGCUGCUUCCAUAUGUCUUCGUGUGUGGUGCCGAAGAAGCGCUUCAGGGUCCGUGGCUCCUCCAGAUUGAACUCCCACACGGGAGAGGCCCGGAGUUGGCAAGGAAGAGUGCGGCGGAAGAGCAUCACCUGAAUCACGUUUGUGAGACCGGUGUUUUUGCCUAUCAUGUUGGAGAUGCAUUUUUGUAGCAUCUGCACCUCCGGUUUGGACCCCCAGUCAAGGCCCUUGGUAGUCCAGGAGGUGAGCCUCGUGGGGGGUCCGGAUCUGAAGUCAGGCGUGGCCGCCCAGUUGGCGUUGCGGGGUUCGGUGAUGUAGAACCACUCCUGCUGCCACACCUUGACCGUCUCCACAAACGCCCCUUUGGGCCAGACGGCAUUGGGGAGCUUGCUUACCAUGGCCCCGCCACAGUCCGCAUGCUAUCCGUCAACCACCUUCGGCUUCAUAUUGAAGACCUUGAGCCACAGGCCGAACUGUGGAGGGAUGCGGAGAAGAGCCUCGCACAUGACGAUGAACACCGAUAUGUGGAGGAAGGAAUUUGGGGCUAGAUCGUGGAAAUCUAGCCCAUAGUAGAACAUGAGGCCUCGGACAAAGGGGUGGAGGGGAAACCCUAGCCCUCGGAGGAAAUGGGGAAUGAACACAAUGCUUUCACCGGGCUCCGGAGUAGGGAGGACCUGAUCUUUGUCAGGGAGCCUGUGUGCAAUGUCCGCGGACAGGUAGCCCACACUUCGGAGAUCCUUGAUGUCCUUCUCGGUGACGGAGGAGGCCUCCCAGUUGCCCUUGGAACCAGACCCGGCCAUUGCUAGGGAGGGUGGCAGCGGUGGGAAAGAUCGAAGUUUUGGGCGCUAGAGCUUGGAAGUUGGAAGACAUGAGCUAGAAGAAGGCGAGGGGAAAAAGGAGGGAUCUUUAUCCUCUUAUAGACGGUGAAAAUACCAAACGUCCCCUUCUCAAGCCUUAAACCUCGCCUGUUCCCAAAGAGAUCGUGCGUAAGGAUCGGCUGGAUUACCCAAACCGUAUUGAUGAGAAUCCGUAAUGGGCGGGCACGAUCUCUAUUUUGACAAGACGUGCCAAUGGAGGCUAAGCCUCGACACGCGAAACGGGAGGCGUGAAAACGGUUCGAAAAUAUUAAAGAGUCAAGCAUGACGCUUCGCCGAAAAAGUUUUCAGUAAAAGACAUUGUUCCUAUGUUGACAUCUUGCCUUCAUGGCUAAGGGUUGUAUUGAUUAUGUAGAGCCGGAUACAGUUCCUUUAUGCAGGAGGUUAACUUAAAAUAUUUAGGAGAAGGAACCCGCCUUGCAAUGCCGAAGGUAAUCCACAUGCCAAACACAUCGUCAUCGAAGGCUGGUUCAGGGGCUACUGAGGGGUCCUAGAUUAGGGGGUCCACGGGUGUCCGGUUUAUCCAACAUGGGCCGAACUGACGGGCCGUGAAGAUAAAGCAGAAGACUAUCCCCUGUGUCCGGAUAGGACUCCUAUGUGCGUGGACGGCAAGUUUGGUGUCUGGAUGUAUUCCUUCCUUCCUUUGCAACCGACUCUAUACAACCCUAGGCCCCUCCGGUGUGUAUAUAAACCAGAGGGUUUAGUCCAUAGAGACUAUCAGAACAAUCAUAAGCUGGACAUCUAGGGUUUAGCCACUACAAUCUCGAGGUAGAUCAACUCUUGUAACCCCUAUACACAUACCUAAUAUAAUCAAGCAGGACGUAGGGUUUUACCUCCUUAAAGAGGGCCCGAACCUGGGUAAACAUCGUGUCCCCAUCGUUCCCUAUUACCAUUGAUCCUUAGACGUACAGCUUGGGACCCCCUACCCGAGAUCUGCCGGUUUUGACACCGGCACCAGGUGUCGCACUGUGUGGUGUGGCGCCUACUUGCUAGGCAUUGCACAUCUAGAGAAAUGUCCAGUGAGCAACAGAAGGUUACAACCAGAAACAGAGUAGUGUGUUGCCUAUUUGCUAGGCGUUGCACAUCUAGACAACUGUCUAAUGAGCAACAGAAGGUUACAGCCAGAAACAGAGUAGUGUGGUGCCCAGAGCUAGGCGUCGCACUAUGAGGUGUGGUGACUAAGUGGUAGGCGUUGCACUGUGUAUUUUUGCAGCACUAGUGAUGACUGCAGUUUUUUGGGACUAUUGAAGAAAGCACAUGAAAUAGAUAACACAAGGUACACAUACACAAUCAGAGCAUACAGUGCUACACAUGUAGGGUAACAUAGUACAUAGUAGUUCAAAUAUAGGAGGAGUCCAUACAGCCAAAUCGAGGAGGAGUCCAAAACACAUAGUAGUUCACAAGCAAAUCGAGGAGGAGUCCAAAACACAUAGUAGUUCACAACCAAAUCGAAGAUCAUAGCUUAGAGGAUAACACGGUCAUAGUCCACAACCAAAUCGAAGAUCACAUAGCUCUAUUCUGUCGAGCAAGGCCCCUUUCCCUUCUUCUUCUUCCUCCUCCCUUUUCCUUAUGCGGUGAGCCUCCUGAACCACCCUCUCCAUGAAUAUCUUGUUCUCCCUCUCUUUCUUUGCAUCUUCAAAAGCCCAAAGCUUCAAGGUUCUUUCUUGAAAAUUGUUUAGACGUUUCUUCUCUGCCUCCUCACAUUUAAUCUUCAACUUGUGCCUCCUCGUGAUCUCCUCAAAACCCCUCUCUCAUGUUCCUUCCUCUUCUCUUCGAUCUCCUAUUGCUUCUUCUUCUCUAGUGCGGUUGCAUCCUCCUCUCUCAACUUCUUCGCAACCUUCUCCCACCACCCUGCCAUCUCACCUUCGCCAUCCUUCUCCUCCAUCCCCUUCAUUGUUCCUUUGUUGGGUUGAGAAGCCUCCAUACCUACGAAGAGACAAGCGUAAUAGUUAGUAAUGACAAAAAGAACAUAUGGGAAAACAUGUAAAUUGCAACAUAUUAGUGAAUAAGGACAACAAAAACAUAUGAAAAAUAUGUAAAUUGAAACAUUAUAGUUAGUGAGCAACAUACGGAAAUGGUCCAUCGAGGUAUCCAAACAUUCCUGUAUAACGACCUUACCCAAGACCACCACCACGACCAAGAUCACCGCCGAGGCCAAGACCACCACCAUGGCCAAAAUCACCACCAAGGCCUCUACCACCACCACGGCCUAGAGCACCACCACGGCCAAGACCACCACCACGAGCUCUACCACCACCAUGUCCUCUUGUAAGUCCUAGUUGCCUCCCUCUUUGUUGCCUAGUUCCCCCUUUUGGCCUGCCCCUUGUUGGCUACUACCUGGUUGGUUUGGCACUUGUUGGCUACCACUUGCUUGGCUUGGCACUUGUUGUCUACCACUUGGUUGGCUACCACUUGCUUGGCUUGGCCCUUGUUGUGUACCUGCUUAUUGGCUUGUGCUUGCAUCAUUUUUCUUUGACAUCUUUCUUGGUUUGGUACACUUUCUUUUGUUGUGGCCCUGACCUUUGCAAUACCUCCGCUUAGCUAGGACAACUAUCAAACACCAUGUCAAGCUCAUCCGGGGCCGGUUCAAUAUUGCCUUUCAAAAAGGCGUCUUUGUCCACAUGAUGAACGAACACACAUGUUCUUCCCAUCCCUAUGAGCAUUCAAACAACAAAAUGUAACAUAUCUUCCAUAAGUACUCAUUCAAAGAUUAACACGAAUACAAAUCCAAACAUAGAUAUGAAACAAUAACCCUAACCCCCACUUAACAAUGACCAUAAGCACAACCCUCACAUACUAACAACCCUAACCCUAACCCUAGCCCCAACAUAACAACACCCAUAACCCUAACCCUAACAUACUAACAAGCCUAACCCUAGCACCAACAUAACAACACCCGUAACAAUAACCCUAACAUACUAACAACCCUAAUCCUACGAAAAUGGCAAACAAACAUCUCUUAUCUCCAUACAAAUUUCAAGAUCCAUAAAAAUGUUGGAAAUAUGCCCUAUAGGCAAUAAUAAAAUGGUUAUUAUAAUAUUUCCUUGUUCAUGAUAAUUGUCUAUUGUUCAUGCUAUAAUUGUGUUAUCCGGAAAUCGUAAUACAUGUGUGAACACAUAGACCAUAACAUGUCCCUAGUGAGCCUCUAGUUGACUAGCUCGUUGAUCAAUAGAUGGUUACGAUUUCCUGACCAUGGACAUUGGAUGUCAUUGAUAACGGGAUCACAUCAUUAGGAGAAUGAUGUGAUGGACAAGACCCAAUCCUAAGCAUAGCACUAGAUCGUGUAGUUAGUUUGCUAAAGCUUUUCUAAUGUCAAGUAUCAUUUCCUUAGACCAUGAGAUCGUGCAACUCCCGGAUACCGUAGGAAUGCUUUGGGUGUACCAAACGUCACAACGUAACUGGGUGGCUAUAAAGGUGCACUACAGGUAUCUCCGAAAGUGUCUGUUGGGUUGGCACGGAUCGAGACUGGGAUUUGUCACUCCGUAUGACGAAGAUGUAUCUUUGGGCCCACUCGGUAAUGCAUCAUCAUAAUGAGCCCAAUAUGUGACUAAGUAGUUAGUCACGGGAUCAUGCAUUACGGAACGAGUAAAGUGACUUGCCGGUAACGAGAUUGAAUGAGGUAUUGGGAUACCGACGAUCGAAUCUCGGGCAAGUAACGUACCGAUUGACAAAGGGAAUUGUAUACGGGAUUGCUUGAAUCCUCGACAUCGUGGUUCAUCCGAUGAGAUCAUCGUGGAACAUGUGGGAGCCAACAUGGGUAUCCAGAUCCCGCUGUUGGUUAUUGGCUAGAGAGCUGUCUCGGUCAUGUCUGCAUGAUUCCCGAACCCGUAGGGUCUACACACUUAAGGUUCGAUGACGCUAGGGUUAUAAGGAAGAUUUGUAUGUGAUUACCGAAUGUUGUUCGGAGUCCCGGAUGAGAUCCCGGACGUCACGAGGAGUUCCGGAAUGGUCCGGAUGUGAAGAUUUAUAUAUGGGAAGUCAUCAUACGGUCACCGGAAAUAUUCGGGGGUAUACCGGUAUUGUAUCGGGACCACCGGAGGGGUUCCGGGGGUCCACCUUCCCCGGAGGGCCUUAUGGGCUGUAGGUGGAAGGGAACCAGCCCCUAAGUGGGUUGGGCGCCAUCCCCCCUAGGGCCCAUGCGCCGAGGGUUAGGGGGGAACCCUAAAGGGGGUGCCCCCCUUGCUUGGGGGGCAAGCCCCCUCCCCCUUGGCCGUCGCCCCCCCUCUAGAUCUCAUCUAGAGGGGCCGGCCCCCUUCCCCCUUCUCCCUAUAAAUUGGGGGUGGAGGGAGGGCUGCAACAACACAUCCAAGGCGCAGCCCCUCCCCUCCCCAACACCUCUCCUCCUCCGCGUGAGCUUGGCGAAGCCCUGCCGGAGAACUGUCACUCCAUCACCACCACGCCGUCGUGCUGCUGUUGGAGCCCUCUUCCUCAACCUCUCCCUCCUCCUUGCUGGAUCAAGGUGCGGGAGACGUCACCGGGUUGCAUGUGUGUUGAACGCGGAGGUGCCGUUGUUCGGCGCUAGGAUCGGAAUCCACCGCGAUCUGAAUCGCUAUGAGUACGACUCCCUCAUCCGUGUUCUUGCAACGCUUCUGUCUCGCGAUCUUCAACGGUAUGAAGAUGCACUCCCCUCUCUCUCGUUGCUAGUUACUCCAUAGAUUGAUCUUGGUGAUGCGUAGAAAUUUUUUAAUUUCUGCAACGAUCCCCAACAGUGGCAUCAUGAGCUAGGUCUAUGCGUAGUUUCUAUGCACGAGUAGAACACAAGUUGUUGUGGGCGUCAAUUUUGUCAAUUUACUUGCCGUUACUAGUCUUAUCUUGAUUCGGCGGCAUCGUGGGAUGAAGCGGCCCGGACCGACCUUACACGUACGCUUACGUGAGAGAGAUUCCACCGACUGACAUGCACUAGUUGCAUAAGGUGGCUAGCAGGUGUGUGUCUCUCCCACUUUAGUCGGAUCGGAUUCGAUGAAAAGGGUCCUUAUGAAGGGUAAAUAGAAAUUGGCAUAUCACAUUGUGGUUUUGGCGUAGGUAAGAAACGUUCUUGCUAGAAACCUAUAGCAGCCACGUAAAAAUUUGCAACAACAAUUAGAGGACAUCUAACUUGUUUUUGCAGCAUGUGUCAUGUGAUGUGAUAUGGCCAGAAGAAUGUGAUGAAUGAUAUAUGUGAUGUAUGAGAUUGAUCAUGUUCUUGUAAUAGGAAUCACGACUUGCAUGACAACCGGCAGGAGCCAUAGGAGUUGUCUUAAUUUAUUUAUGACCUGCGUGUCAACUGAAACGUCAUGUAAUUACUUUACUUUAUUGCUAACCAUUAGCCAUAGUAGUAGAAGUAAUAGUUGGCGAGACAACUUCAUGAAGACACGAUGAUGGAGAUCAUGAUGAUGGAGAUCAUGGUGUCAUGCCGGUGACGAUGAUGAUCAUGGCGCCCCGAAAAUGGAGAUCAAAAGGAGCAAACUGAUAUUGGCCAUAUCAUGUCACUAUUUGAUUGCAUGUGAUGUUUAUCAUGUUUUACAUCUUAUUUGCUUAGAACGACGGUAGCCUAAAUAAGAUGAUCUCUCACUAAAAUUUCAAGAAUUGUGUUCCCCCUAACUGUGCACCGUUGCUAAAGUCCGUUGUUCCGAAGCACCACGUGAUGAUCGGGUGUGAUAGGUCCUAACGUUCACAUACAAUGGGAGUAAGCCAGAUUUACACACGCAAUACACUUAGGUUGACUUGACGAGCCUAGCAUGUACAGACAUGGCCUCGGAACACGGAAGACCGAAAGGUCGAACAUGAGUCAUAUAGAAGAUACGAUCAACAUGAAGAUGUUCACCGAUGAUGACUAGUCCGUCACGUGAUGAUCGGACACGGCCUAGUUGACUCGGAUCAUGUAUCACUUAGAUGACUAGAGGGAUGUCUGUCUGAGUGGGAGUUCAUUAAUAAUUUGAUUAGAUGAACUUAAUUAUCAUGAACUUAGUCUAAAAUCUUUACAAUAUGUCUUGUAGAUCAAAUGGCCCACGCUAAUGUCAACCUCAACUUCAACGCGUUCCUAGAGAAAACCAAGCUGAAAGACGAUGGUAGCAACUAUAUGGACUGGGUCCGGAACUUGAGGAUCAUCCUCAUAGCUGCCAAGAAAGCAUAUGUCCUUGAAGCACCGCUAGGUGAAGCACCCGUCCCAGCAAACCAAGACGUUAUGAACGCUUGGCAAACACGUGUUGAUGAUUACUCCCUGGUUCAGUGCGGCAUGCUUUACAGCUUAGAACCGGGGCUCCAAAAGCGUUUCGAGCAGCACGGAGCAUAUGAUAUGUUCUAAGAGCUGAAAAUGGUUUUCCAAGCUCAUGCCCGGGUCGAGAGAUAUGAAGUCUCCGACAAGUUCUACAGUUGUAAGAUGGAGGAGAAUAGUUCCAUCAGCGAACACAUACUCAAAAUGUUUGGGUUGCACAACCGCUUCUCUCGGCUGGGAGUUAAUCUCCCGGAUGACACGGUCGUUGACAGAAUCCUUCAGUCGCUUCCACCUAGCUACAAGAGCUUUGUGAUGAACUUCAAUAUGCAGGGGAUGGAGAAAACCAUUCCUGAGGUAUAUUUGAUGCUGAAAUCAGCGGAGGUGGAGAUCAAAAAGGAAUAUCAAGUGUUGAUGGUGAAUAAGACCACUAAGUUCAAGAAAGGCAAGGGUAAAAAGAGCUUCAAGAAAGACGGCAAGGGAGUUGCCGCGCCCGGUAAGCAAGCUGCCGGGAAGAAGACAAAGAAUGGACCCAAGCCUGAGACUGAGUGCUUUUAUUGCAAGGGAAACGGUCAUUGGAAGCGGAACUGCCCCAAGUACUUAGCAGACAAGAAGGCCGGCAACACCAAAGGUAUAUGUGAUAUACAUGUUAUUGAUGUGUACCUUACCAGUACUCGUAGUAGCUCCUGGGUAUUUGAUACCGGUGCGGUUGCUCAUAUUUGUAACUCAAAACAGGAGCUGCGGAAUAAGCGAAGACUGGCGAAGGACGAGGUGACGAUGCGCGUCGGGAAUGGUUCCAAGGUCGAUGUGAUCGCCGUCGGCACGCUACCUCUACAUUUACCUAUGGGGUUAGUUUUAAACCUCAAUAAUUGUUAUUUAGUGCCAGCUUUGAGCAUGAACAUUGUAUCUGGAUUUCGUUUGAUGCGAGAUGGCUACUCAUUUAAAUCUGAGAAUAAUGGUUGUUCUAUUUAUAUGAGAGAUAUGUUUUAUGGUCAUGCCCCGCUAGUCAAUGGUUUAUUCUUAAUGAAUCUCGAAUGUGAUGUUACACAUAUUCAUAGUGUGAAUGCCAAGAAAUGUAAGGUUGAUAAUGAUAGUCCCACAUACUUGUGGCACUGCCGCCUUGGUCACAUUGGUGUCAAACGCAUGAAGAAACUCCAUGCAGAUGGACUUUUGGAGUCUCUUGAUUAUGAAUCAUUUGACACGUGCGAACCAUGCCUCAUGGGAAAAAUGACCAAGACUCCGUUCUCCGGAACAAUGGAGCAAGCAACCAACUUAUUGGAAAUCAUACAUACUGAUGUGUGCGGUCCAAUGAGCGUUGAGGCUCGCGGUGGCUAUCAUUAUGUUCUCACCGUCACUGAUGACUUAAGUAGAUAUGGGUAUGUCUACUUAAUGAAACACAAGUCUGAGACCUUUGAAAAGUUCAAGGAAUUUCAGAGUGAGGUUGAGAAUCAACGUGACAGGAAAAUAAAGUUCUUACGAUCUGAUCGUGGAGGGGAAUAUUUGAGUCACGAAUUUGGCACACACUUAAGGAAAUGUGGAAUUGUUUCACAACUCACGCCGCCUAGAACACCUCAGCGUAAUGGUGUGUCCGAACGUCGUAAUCGCACUCUAUUGGAUAUGGUGCGAUCUAUGAUGUCUCUUACCGAUCUACCACUAUCAUUUUGGGGUUAUGCUUUAGAGACUGCCGCAUUCACUUUAAAUAUGGCUUCGUCGAAAUCCGUUGAGACGACACCGUAUGAAUUAUGGUUUGGAAAGAAACCUAAGCUGUCGUUUCUUAAAGUUUGGGGAUGCGAUGCUUAUGUCAAGAAACUUCAACCUGAAAAGCUCGAACCCAAGUCGGAAAAAUGCGUCUUCAUAGGAUACCCUAAGGAAACCAUUGGGUAUACCUUCUACCUCAGAUCUGAAGGCAAGAUCUUCGUUGCCAAGAAUGGGUCCUUUCUGGAGAAAGAGUUUCUUUCGAAAGAAGUAAGUGGGAGGAAAGUGGAACUUGAUGAGAUGACCCCUCUCGAACCAGAAAGUAGCGCAGCACAAGAAAAUGUUUCUGUGGUGCCUGCACCGACUAGAGAGGAAGUUAAUGAUGACGAUCAUGAUCAAGUUACCACUGAACUUCGUAGGUCCACAAGGACACGUUCCGCACCAGAGUGGUACGGCAAACCUGUCUUGGAAAUCAUGUUGUUGGACAACGGUGAACCUUCGAACUAUGAAGAAGCAAUGGCGGGCCCAGAUUCCAACAAAUGGCUUGAAGCCAUGCAAUCCGAGAUAGGAUCCAUGUAUGAAAACAAAGUAUGGACUUUGACAGACUUUCCCGAUGAUCGGCGAGCGAUAGAAAAUAAAUGGAUCUUUAAGAAGAAGACGGACGCGGAUGGAAAUGUUACCAUCUAUAAAGCUCGACUUGUCGCUAAGGGUUAUCGACAAGUUCAAGGAGUUGACUACGAUGAGACCUUCUCACCCGUAGCGAAGCUGAAGUCCGUCCGAAUCAUGUUAGCAAUUGCCGCAUUCUACGAUUAUGAAAUAUGGCAAAUGGACGUCAAAACGGCAUUCCUUAACGGCUUCCUUAAGGAAGAAUUGUAUAUGAUGCAGCCGGAAGGUUUUGUCGAUCCUAAGAAUGCUGACAAGGUAUGCAAACUCCAGCGCUCAAUCUAUGGGCUGGUGCAGGCAUCUCGGAGUUGGAACAUUCGCUUUGAUGAGAUGAUCAAAGCGUUUGGGUUUACACAGACUUAUGGAGAAGCCUGUGUUUACAAGAAAGUGAGUGGGAGCUCUGUAGCAUUUCCCAUAUUAUAUGUUGAUGACAUACUAUUGAUGGGAAAUGAUAUAGAAUUCUUGGAAAGCAUAAAGGCCUACUUGAAUAAGUGUUUUUCAAUGAAGGACCUUGGAGAAGCUGCUUACAUAUUAGGCAUCAAGAUCUAUAGAGAUAGAUCGAGACGCCUUAUAGGUCUUUCACAAAGCACAUACCUUGACAAGAUAUUGAAGAAGUUCAAUAUGGAUCAGUCCAAGAAGGGGUUCUUGCCUGUAUUGCAAGGUGUGAGAUUGAGCACGGCUCAAUGCCCGACCACGGCAGAAGAUAGAGAAAAGAUGAGUGUCAUCCCCUAUGCCUCGGCCAUAGGGUCUAUUUUGUAUGCCAUGCUGUGUACCAGACCUGAUGUAAACCUUGCCGUAAGUUUGGUAGGAAAGUACCAAAGUAAUCCCGACAUGGAACACUGGACAGCGGUCAAGAACAUCCUGAAGUACCUGAAAAGGACUAAGGAUAUGUUUCUCGUUUAUGGUGGUGACGAAGAGCUCGUCGUAAAGGGUUACGUCGAUGCUAGCUUCGACACAGAUCUGGAUGACUCUAAGUCACAAACCGGAUACGUGUAUAUUUUGAAUGGUGGGGCAGUCAGCUGGUGCAGUUGCAAGCAAAGCGUCGUGGCGGGAUCUACAUGUGAAGCGGAGUACAUGGCAGCCUCGGAGGCAGCACAUGAAGCAAUCUGGAUGAAUGAGUUCAUUGCCGACCUAGGAGUUAUUCCCAAUGCAUCGGGGCCGAUGACUCUCUUCUGUGACAACACUGAAGCUAUUGCCCUUGCCAAGGAGCCCAGGUUUCACAAGAAGACCAGGCACAUCAAGCGUCGCUUCAACUCCAUUCGUGAAAAUGUUCAAAAUGGAGACAUAGAUAUUUGUAAAGUGCAUACGGAUUUGAAUGUCGCAGAUCCGUUGACUAAACCUCUUCCAUGGGCGAAACAUGAUCAACACCAGAACUCUAUGGGUGUACGAUUCAUCACAAUGUAACUAGAUUAUUGACUCUAGUGCAAGUGGGAGACUGUUGGAAAUAUGCCCUAGAGGCAAUAAUAAAAUGGUUAUUAUUAUAUUUCCUUGUUCAUGAUAAUUGUCUAUUGUUCAUGCUAUAAUUGUGUUAUCCGGAAAUCGUAAUACAUGUGUGAACACAUAGACCAUAACAUGUCCCUAGUGAGCCUCUAGUUGACUAGCUCGUUGAUCAAUAGAUGGUUACGGUUUCCUGACCAUGGACAUUGGAUGUCAUUGAUAACGGGAUCACAUCAUUAGGAGAAUGAUGUGAUGGACAAGACCCAAUCCUAAGCAUAGCACUAGAUCGUGUAGUUCGUUUGCUAAAGCUUUUCUAAUGUCAAGUAUCAUUUCCUUAGACCAUGAGAUCGUGCAACUCCCGGAUACCGUAGGAAUGCUUUGGGUGUACCAAAUGUCACAACGUAACUGGGUGGCUAUAAAGGUGCACUACAGGUAUCUCCGAAAGUGUCUGUUGGGUUGGCACGGAUCGAGACUGGGAUUUGUCACUCCGUAUGACGGAGAUGUAUCUCUGGGCCCACUCGGUAAUGCAUCAUCAUAAUGAGCUCAAUAUGUGACUAAGUAGUUAGUCACGGGAUCAUGCAUUACGGAACGAGUAAAGUGACUUGCCGGUAACGAGGUUGAACGAGGUAUUGGGAUACCGACGAUCGAAUCUCGGGCAAGUAACGUACCGAUUGACAAAGGGAAUUGUAUACAGGAUUGCUUGAAUCCUCGACAUCGUGGUUCAUCCAAUGAGAUCAUCGUGGAACAUGUGGGAGCCAACAUGGGUAUCCAGAUCCCGCUGUUGGUUAUUGGCUAGAGAGCUGUCUCGGUCAUGUCUGCAUGAUUCCCGAACCCGUAGGGUACACACUUAAGGUUCGAUGACGCUAGGGUUAUAAGGAAGAUUCGUAUGUGAUUACCGAAUGUUGUUCGGAGUCCCGGAUGAGAUCCCGGACGUCACGAGGAGUUCCGGAAUGGUCCGGAUGUGAAGAUUUAUAUAUGGGAAGUCAUCAUACGGUCACCGGAAAUAUUCGGGGGUAUACCGGUAUUGUAUCAGGAUCACCGGAGGGGUUCCGAGGGUCCACCUGCCCCGGAGGGCCUUAUGGGCUGUAGGUGGAAGGGAACCAGCCCCUAAGUGGGCUGGGCGCCAUCCCCCCUAGGGCCCAUGUGCCUAGGGUUGGGGGAACCCUAAAGGGGGCGCCCCCCUUGCUUGGGGGGCAAGCCCCCUCCCCCUUGGCCGCCGCCCCCCUCUCAUCUAGAGGGGCCGGCCCCCUUCCCCCUUCUCCCUAUAAAUAGAGGGGUGGAGGGAGGGCUGCAGCAACACAUCCAAGGCGCAGCCCGUCCCCUUCCCAACACCUCUCCUCCUCCGCGUGAGCUUGACGAAGCCCUGCCGGAGAACUGCCACUCCAUCACCACCACGCCGUCGUGCUGCUGUUGGAGCCCUCUUCCUCAACCUCUCCCUCCUCCUUGCUGGAUCAAGGUGCGGGAGACGUCACCGGGUUGCACGUGUGUUGAACGCGGAGGUGCCGUUGUUCGGCGCUAGGAUCGGAAUCCACCGCGAUCUGAAUCGCUACGAGUACGACUCCCUCAUCCGCGUUCUUGCAACGCUUCCGUCUCGCGAUCUUCAACGGUAUGAAGAUGCACUCCCCUCUCUCUCGUUGCUAGUUACUCCAUAGAUUGAUCUUGGUGAUGCGUAGAAUUUUUUUAAUUUCUGCAACGAUCCCCAACAAAAAAACUAGGGUUUCCCCAAACUAGCAAAAAACGAGCAAAUGUUCGCAUUUUUUGGAUCAAAACAAGGGAAUUAGAGGAGAUUACCUUGAAGGAGGGAUUGGGUUCGAAAUCCACGGAGAAAAUCUUCAAAUUUGGAAGAUUUGAAGAAGGAUUUGAGAGGGGGAGAGAGGGCAAAUCACGGGUGGGGGGGUCGGGGGUUGGGGGUGUGUGGGGGAGGGGGGCCAGCCAGCCAACUAGUAACAGGGUGUGCAGCGCCUAAGAGCUAGGCGCUGCACAUAACAAGUGUGGCGCCUAGCUCGCAGGCGUUGCACAUUACAUGUGGGGCGCCUAGCUCUGAGGCGCUGCACUGCUGGGUGCGGGCCUCUGAGGUGCCACGCUGGCCAGACGUGCAACGCCUGAGAGCUAGGCGCUGCACCGUAGGGUGUGGCGCCACCGUGUCGGACGCCACACAAAACGGUCAGCUGACUGAAUUUUUCUCCAAACCAAUUCAGUUUGUGAAUUGAUUUCGUCCAGAGGUUAAAUUUGUCAAAUUUACCGCCAAUAUACUUUUUAAUGUGUUGCUUUAGAUACUUUGGCCUUUACACCGAAAAAAGAGCAUCAUCAAAUUUAUUGAAAUAAAGUGUUAUUUUGUAGGUUAUCCCAAAUGAUUGGGUAUUCCUUUAUCACUAUGACGAGGUAAAGUGUUUUGCCACAUGUGCAGAAAUUUUGAAGAAAUUGUUUUCUGCAAAAGAGUGAGUGGGAGGACAGUGCAACUCGACAAGAUUACAUAAUCUUUGUCAUCAGGUCAAAGAUUGUGCCGGUGAUGGCGAUGCUGUGGGAUCGAGACGGCCGACACAGACAAUGCAUUUUUUUGUUCAGAGCUGAUUAUUCUUAUUUUUUUCUUUUUAAUUAAAGAGGGGAAGAGAGGAGAGAAAGAAGGCAUAUUGGGCUAGGUUGGGUAUGAUUUGUGUGAUUUGGCAUAGGUCCGAUCCAUCAGAUUGUACUUAGGAGACGCGUCGAGGCGUGCUCCGGCCUUCUCAGUUUUUGCCUCAGAUACGAGCUGGGUUUGAGAGAUGACGAACAAUCUGGACAUAUAAGACCGGUUUGAAGAGCUGGGUAGGUCGUAUUUUCACCACCGAUUACUGACCAGGUCAUCCGCGUAUACAGAUAGAAGAAGGUUUGGGCGCGCUUUAUUGUGCCGUUGAUGUUGUUUGGUAAAAAAAAAAAAUUUACUCCCUUUGUCUCAAAAUUUACGGUGAUCGUACAUGCUGUAAUGUUGUGGUUUGGUUCGAUCCACGACCGGAGCAAGUGCAGACCAACUGAACCACGGACAACCUACUAGUGCUAGUGCGCCUCCAUUUCCGAACCGAGGCGAGGCUCCCCUGCAAGUGCUCCCUUCCUUCCUUNNNNNNNNNNNNNNNNNNNNNNNNNNNNNNNNNNNNNNNNNNNNNNNNNNNNNNNNNNNNNNNNNNNNNNNNNNNNNNNNNNNNNNNNNNNNNNNNNNNNNNNNNNNNNNNNNNNNNNNNNNNNNNNNNNNNNNNNNNNNNNNNNNNNNNNNNNNNNNNNNNNNNNNNNNNNNNNNNNNNNNNNNNNNNNNNNNNNNNNNNNNNNNNNNNNNNNNNNNNNNNNNNNNNNNNNNNNNNNNNNNNNNNNNNNNNNNNNNNNNNNNNNNNNNNNNNNNNNNNNNNNNNNNNNNNNNNNNNNNNNNNNNNNNNNNNNNNNNNNNNNNNNNNNNNNNNNNNNNNNNNNNNNNNNNNNNNNNNNNNNNNNNNNNNNNNNNNNNNNNNNNNNNNNNNNNNNNNNNNNNNNNNNNNNNNNNNNNNNNNNNNNNNNNNNNNNNNNNNNNNNNNNNNNNNNNNNNNNNNNNNNNNNNNNNNNNNNNNNNNNNNNNNNNNNNNNNNNNNNNNNNNNNNNNNNNNNNNNNNNNNNNNNNNNNNNNNNNNNNNNNNNNNNNNNNNNNNNNNNNNNNNNNNNNNNNNNNNNNNNNNNNNNNNNNNNNNNNNNNNNNNNNNNNNNNNNNNNNNNNNNNNNNNNNNNNNNNNNNNNNNNNNNNNNNNNNNNNNNNNNNNNNNNNNNNNNNNNNNNNNNNNNNNNNNNNNNNNNNNNNNNNNNNNNNNNNNNNNNNNNNNNNNNNNNNNNNNNNNNNNNNNNNNNNNNNNNNAACCCCCCACCCACCCUGCGCGGAUCGAUCCCCCACCGACUGCGCAGUGGCAGCCGCAGCCGCGUCCCCGUCUUCCUCCCCGCCGAUUCGGCCGAGCGAUCGCGGCUGCCCUCGUCCACCCAUGCUUCCCCGGGUGGCUGCGGACGAGAUAUGAGCCGGCGGGGAAUCGACGGAACCGCCGACGCCACCCGCCAUGGACCCCUCCGAGCGCCCCGCCGUCGUAUUCGACAACGGCACAGGGUACAACCCCGAAUCUCUCCGUCCGAUCCUGCGGCUGUACCGCUGGUGUGAUUCGCGCCUGCGCUUGCAGCAGUAGCUAGGUUAUUUUUCAUUUCGUUUGCGCGGGUCCCUGAGUGCGUGCCCGUGUGUUUCCGCUGACCGCGCUGGAGGAAAAUUGGGGCAGGUCGAAUCGGAUUACCGACUGCCGUGGGAAUAAAUGCAUUUCGUUAGCCAAUGGGACAUGAAUCACCACCAACGACACGUCACACGGUGAGGCUUGCUCCCUAACUGCGAGCCAACAUUCACAUUGGUAGCUCGAGCGUUCUAGAGUAUGGUGAACCUGAACCUAAAAUGACACGAAUUUCUAUGCGUGUUUGAAAAAAAUACCACAGUGAACUUAAGGUAGGAAUUGAAACUGGGUUUAUGGACUUUCUAUGGCUAUAUUUAUUUCAUCACUGGUUGAACUAGGCGUUGGUCCAUUCAUUAUUGGUUAGUCUUUAAAUCCACGCUGCCAGCGGUGAGGCAAUAUCUGUCUGUUUAAUGGUUGGAGCUAUGAACGGAAAAUCUAGGGACUGCUUCUUUUUUGGGAUUAUAGUUAGUAAUGUUGUUCUAGUCCUUUAGCUCAAAUUGUUACUGUUACACUGUAGACUAUUACGAAGUACUAUAACAUGUCUUAACUGAUGCACUAUGUGUGUUCCGUGAAACAUAAAAAUGACAAUCGUUAACGGACUGCGAUAGAAGGCAGGAAAUAACUGUUCCCGCGCACAAGCGUUUUAUCAUGAAGUUGGAUUGUUUUGGUUUCUUCAAAGCCGCUUGAAAUUUUCCAUAUGCAUGUCACAUGCAAAAUUUGCUCUAUUAAGCUCAUCACACUGUGUCCUUACAUAAUCUGUAUGCUCUUAUGUUUAGGUAUAGCAAACUUGGGUUUGCUGGUAACUCCGAGCCGUCUUUCACCAUCCCUACUGUAGUAGCUGUGAAUGAAUCUUUCUUGGACCAAUCAGAGCAGUGCAGUAGUGCAAAUUGGCUAGCACAGUAUAAUGCAGGUGUCAUGGCUGAUCUUGAUUUUUUUAUCGGGGAUGAGGCUCUGUCACAUUUCAAAUCUAGUGGCCUGUACAGUUUAAGAAGCCCAAUUCGUCAUGGUCAGGUAUGCAUAUACAUUUUCUGUUUGUAAUAUUGUCCUUCGCGGGUGCACCAUGCCACUAUGUCAUAUCUUUUUCCCUGCUCUCCAGGUGAAUGACUGGGAUACAAUGGAGAGAUUUUGGCAGCAAUCCAUUUUCAAUUAUCUACGGUGCAAUCCUGAGGAACACUACUUCCUACUUACAGAUAGUCCUGUCAGUACGCCGGAAAGUCGUGAAUGUAUGGGAGAAAUUAUGUUUGAGACCUUUAAUGUCCCUGGUCUAUAUAUUUCUGUGCAAUCUGUGCUCAGCCUUUCUGCUGGAUUUGCAUAUCUGAAAAGUCUUUCUGAAGAGGAUUCAGAAGAUUCUGUGGUAGGUCUUGAACUCACCUCCUUUCAUGCUUUUGUUUGAUCAAGUAUCAAGAUGGUCAUCAACCCGUGAACUUCAUCUCUUUCACUGGAACAAAUCACCUUGUGAAUGUUUUAACAGAUAACCAAAAUUCUCAUAUUGAUCUCAUACCCACAUUAAGAUAAACUCCCCUUUUACAUUUUACAGAUUAUUCUUUGGAAUUGUUGCCUUGCAUGUUUUGGCAAAAUUUUGGUCCAUCUUUGAAUUAUAUUACCCAUUCAUAUCGUACUUGUUGCUUGCCAGCCCCUGGCGUUUCCAUUCCAAUUUGGAGAUAUGUUUUGCUAUUCCGUACUCAUAAGCAUGGUCCCUGGAGAAUUUUGAGCGUAACACAACCUCAUGAUAUGAAGAAACCAUUUUGUGAGAAUUAUGUGAUGACUGCUUAUUUCUCACUCGCCAAUUCUGCAAUGAGCGCCAAUUAACUUGCUAACUAAAACUUAUGUUUAUCGAGAAUUGUGGUUGUGAAGCUCUGUAAAGAUAUUUUGUUCUAGACAUAAAUAGUACCAUAGGAGUAAUCAUCAUUGAUGAAGUAGACUCAUCUAAAGAUCAAGUGUUCUGGCAGGAUACAACUCUUCUCGUGAGUUUGACCAAUAUAUUUUGUCAGUCUGAUAUGACAGGUGUAGUAGUUGACAUUGGGGAUGGAGCUCCACAUAUUGUGCCAGUUGUAAACGGCUAUGUAAUUGGGAGUAGCAUAAAGUCUUUUCCUCUUUCCGGAAGUGAUGUAACUCAGUUUGUUAUGCAGCUCUUACAGGUAUUUAAUUUUCUUCCCACAUUUUCCUGGGGUUAUGUUAGGGUGUCGACGUCCUUGUGCUGUCCAUGAAUAGUUUCUGUCCAUGAAUAGCAUAUUGCAAAUGCAUUAAUAGAAGCAAGUUUGUGCAGUACCGACUAAACCAGAACAAUUGAAUAGCAAUUUUUGGAUUUUCCUGAAGUUUGGGUGGUAUGGAAUUAUCCAGGAAAAAGGAAAUGUGUUAGCAGUAAGAAGAGACCAUCAUGUAUUUGUUAGGUACUUCAGCAAAUAUUUAUUAUGUUAGAAUAUUUAUCUGGAUAGUUCAAUGAUAGUAAUAAUCGGAUAACACUGCAUUUCGGUCAACAAAGCCAAAACGAUGCUUCAGUCAAAUAGUUUCUACUUUCAUGGAUAUCUAUUCUGAAGCCUCCUGGUAAGUGAUCAUGUUAAUAUGCGAACCCUAGAUCUGUUGUGCGUUAUUGCUUGGUAUCCUGACAUUAGUUUUGCUUCUCAGUAUGGUUGCUUGAUUAAUCAACUUGGAAGAGUUCGCAUUCCUUUUGUAAGGAUACCUAAGGUUCCAGUCUCCCCCAUAUUAUACCCACAGACCAUAUAUCAUCCACAAGAAGUUGAUUUUGUGAAUAUGUUCUCUGAUGAAAUAUGGCAAUUUUUUAUCUGGAUCACACAAAUCUAGAAAACAAAACCUGCACCAUAGCAUUCACAAGUGUUGCUGUUAUCGGCUUUGAGUCGUAUGUGCGGCGGAAUUAUACGGAACCAGCAACAAUAAUAGACUUGUACUUGCAUAAAACUAGAACGAGUUGAAAUGUCCAUGUUGGAUGCUAUUUGUACUUUAAAUUAAGUGGAGUCCAAUUAAGUUAGAAAGAUAUUAUAGUUCGGUCAAGGGUUUCUGUUGUGAUCCAAUUUGUGGAUCAAGUUAGUUGUUUUAUAUAAAUGACUAGCAUUUACCUGUUUUUAGACAACAAAUCAAUGAACGAAAGUUCCAAUAAGCCUCAGAGCUUCUCUUCCAUCUCAGAGAUGAGCCCUGCUGCCGGACAGUAGAGGGCCCUCUCGUUGGUCUUCAGACCUUUACUAUACCCAAAUUAUCUCAUUGUGGAUCAAUGUCCAUAACAGCUGCCAUAAUGUUUGGGUGGCCUCUUAGCCUCAGUUGCAACUUUAGAUUGAAUGCAAAUAUGUAAUUUAAAAUGAAAAACUGGAAUGUUGUCAUCUGGGUAAGAAACUCCAUUUUACUGUAGAACUGGUGCGACAUCAUUUGCCCUGAAUAUUUGGUUGUGGCCCAUUCUGUAGAAGCUAGUGAAACAUGGUACUCUGAUAAACAAUGUAGUUUGUUUUAGGAUUUGGACCAGUCAAACAUUGUUAAGUUUGAUCAUUACAAUGGAAAAUAUUACCUACAUUGGCAACAUGAAAUUGGUAUUACUAGAUUCAUUGUGAGAAUACAUUUUUGUAAUGCAUAAUUAUUUUUAUCUCAAGCAACAUAUUGUUGUAUAAAUUGACGAUCAAAGUCUGCGUCUAUGUCCCAAACAACAUUCAUUGGUGAUCAGAGGGGAUAGAUUUCUGCACGUACAUGGCUGCUUUUAUGUUUAUGACGUGUAGUAGUAUUAUAAUAUGAAAUUCAGUUGGUGAUUUAGUAUCAUCGUGCGUUAUGCAGGAAAGGGGUGAGCUUCUUCCACCUGAUGAUGCUUUGGAUAUAGCUCGUAGGGUGAAAGAAACGUAUUGCUAUACUCCUUCAGACAUUGUCAAGGUAUUGUGUUGCUUGGAACCAGUGUCUUGAUAUUAUAUUUUCUUGUCCUUGUAUUUUCCAAUGAUAUACAGAAGCACAUUAUUCAGUGGAAUAUUUGAGAGUUGAAGUUUCUCCACUAAAGUCAAAUAUAUAAAACCUAUUCUGUGCAAUGCUGAGAAAUCACUGUUAUUUUGUUAUAUGGAACUGUUCUACAUGCUGCAUAUGUUUGCUUGCAUUGUUGUAAUACCUACCUUUCGGACUUUACCUUUUGCAAUACAAACUCAUUUAUUCAUAUUCCUUUUUCUUUAUGGAUUUAUCUGUUCACAAGUAUGAUAGGCGGUUGAAUUGUAUAAUUUCAGGAGUUCAAGAAGCAUGACAGCAAGCCUAGUAAAUAUAUCAAACAAUGGUCUGCAAUCAAACCGAAGACUGGGGUUCCAUACACAAUUGACGUUGGAUAUGAGCGUUUUCUUGGACCAGAGGUUUGUCCGUACACCGUAUUCUACCAUUCAAUUUCAUGGGAAUUUUUCAUGCAGUGGACCUAUCCAUUAUUCUCCCUCCGUUUCAAAAUAGAUGUUGUUCUAGCCUUGCCAUUUUUUCUCAGAAUGCUUGUCAGUUUACAUAAGUCAUUCUGUUCUUACUUUACCCUUAAUCAACAACAAACAACAACUAAGCCUUUAGUCCCGAACAAGUUGGGGUAAGCUAGAGUUGACCCAUAAGAUCUCGAAACCAGCUCAUGGUUCUGGCAUGUGGAUAGCUAACUUCCACGCGCCCCUGUCCAUGGAUAGUUUUUUGGUGAUAUUCCAGUCCUUCAGAUCUCUCUUUACGGACUCCUCUCAUGUCAAGUUUGAUCUACCCCGACCUCUCUUGACAUUAUCAGCACGCUUUAACCGUCCCCUAUGCACUGCACUGUAUAAUAUAUGUCCAAACCAUCUCAGCCGAUGUUGGACAAGCUUCUCUUCAAUUGGUGCUACCCCAACUCUCUCGCAUAUAUCAUCAUACCAGACCCGAUCCUUCCUUGUGUGGCCGCACAUCCAUCUCAACAUGCGCAUCUCCGCUACACCAAACUGUUGAACAUGUCGCCUUUUAGUCGGCCAACACUCAGCCUCGAUUCUUCCUGCAUCUUGUUUGCCCAAAAAAUGAGGUUGAAAAGCUUAGUUAGCCAUACUAUCGCCAUGUCUCUGAGGCCUCUCCACACCUCAAUGGUUAAUCCUUUUUAAAGCCUCUCUGACCUCAGACUCUUGGAUUCGUCGCAGAAAACGCCUGCUGGUAUCAUCAAAGUAGUUGUCCAGCUCAAUAUUAUAGCUCCCAUUCUCUCCAUUGAACAGCUUGUCGAAGUACUCCCGCCAUCUGUGCUUAAUCUCCUCGUCCUUCACCAGUAGUUGAUCUGCUCUGUCCUUGAUGCAUUUGACUUGGUUGACAUCCCUCAUCUUCCUCUCUCGGAUCUUGACCAUCUUAUAGAUGUCCCUUUCGCCUUCCUUCGUGUAAGCGCUAGUAGAGGUCCUCAUACGCCUGACCCCUUUACUCACAGCUCGCUUUGCGUCUUUCUUUGCCACCUUGUACUUUUCUAUGUUGUCUACACUCCUAUCCAGGUGUAGGCGUCUGAAACAGUCUUUCUUUUCUUAAUAGCCUUCUGGACAUCAUCUUCCACCAUCAGGUAUCUUCAGCUUCGCUUCUACUUACCGGGGUCACUCCAAACUCCUCUGAAGCCACCUUACGAAUGCAAGUCGUCAUCUUCAUCCACAUAUUGUUUGCAUCACUCCUUCCUCCCAAGGGCCCUCGUUAGGCCCUCUCCUUGAAAGCCUAUCCCCCUUGAGCCUCCCCCACUUCGUUCUAGCGACUGGUGCGCUUAUCCUGAUGGACACGAUCCGAAUGCGGAAGUCAGCCACCACAAGCUUAUGUUGAGGGACAACACUCUCUCCAGGUAUCACCUUACAAUCUAGGCAGGCACGCCUGUCUUCUCUUCUCUAGAGGACAAAAUCAAUCUGGCUAGAGUGUUGACCACUACUAAAAGUCACUAGAUGCGACUCUUUUUAAAGAGGGUGAUAGCUACAAUCAUGUCGUAGGCUAGAGCGAAGCUUAAGACAUCUCCUUGAUUCCCGAUGCCAUAGCCAAAGCCCCAUGCACCCCUUCAAAACCUGUGUUAGAUGUACCCGCGUGACCAUUGAGGUCUCCUCCUAUGAAGAGCUUCUCGCCAAUAGUUACGCUCCUAAGGCCCUGUACAAUGCAAGGUGCUUAGGGGAGAUGCUUGGAGAAAUAAACCAGGCUUUCCUUAAGCACCGGUGCUUAUUUGUACAGGAUAGACGCUUAAUUAGGCGUCUCUCCUACAGAAAUAGGCACCGGUGCUUCAGAAAAACCCGGUUUAUUUUUCUAAGCACCUAGCAUUGUACAAGGCCUAACCAUGCCCUCAAGGCCUUCCCAAAACCCCCUCUUGGUGUUCCCAUUGUGGCCUAUUUGCGGGGCAUACGUGCUGAUAACAUUGAGAACCAAGUCCCCAACUACCAGCUUGACCAGGAUAAUCCGGUCUCCUUGCUUCUUGAUGUCUACCACUCCAUACUUGAGGCUCUUGUUGAUCAAGAUGACUACUCCAUUUCUGUUUGUAUUUGUCCCAGUGUACCACAGCUUAAGCCGGUAUCCUCCACCUCCUUCGCCUUCUGUCCCCUUUAUUUGGUUUCUUGGACGCAAAGGAUAUCAACACCUCUCCUCACCACUGUGUCAACUAGCUCCCGUAACUUACCUGUCAGGGACCCUACGUUCCAGCUACCUAAGCGGAUCCUACUAGGCUCGGGUAGCUUCCUUACCCUUCACACUCGUCAAGUCAAAUGCGAAGACCCUUGCUCAUUUUGUGCCCCUUAAUCAAUGUCACAAAAAGGAGAACUAAUUAACUCUUGUGCUUGCAUGCUUUGCUUUGGGGAGGAAAAAUAGGUUAUUUCAUGACCUUGUGAGGAAGAGAUGAGCAAUAUAGACAUGUUCUGCCCAACUCUAAAACAAAAUAUGUUUGAAAAGGAGGGGGUACUUGAUUUUGGUUACACCAUGGGAAUAGACUGGAAGCUAUGUAGUAUGAUAGAACAUGUAUGACUGAUUGAAGAAAUCAUUUCAUUCUUCAAGAUUUAUAGUAAUAAUGAAAAUAUGGGGUCCCAACAGAUUAAAUUAGUACUCCCUCCGUUCCUAAAUAUAAGUCCUUUUAGAGAUUUCAAUAAGGAUUACAUACGGAGCAAAAUGAGUGAAUCUACACUCUAAAAGAUGUCUAUAUACAUCCGUAUGUAGUCGAUAUUGAAAUCUCCAAAAAGACUUAUAUUUAGGAACGGAGGGGGUAAUUCUGAUGGUUCACAGGUAUGAAACUAUGUUGAACUGCUAAGCUCUUAUAACCAGUCAUCAAAUCAAUGGACGCCUUUGCAUGUUUAGACUUGAGGUUGCAAUGCCUUAUUACAUACUUAUAGAAGUAUCAUCUGACUGACAGACAGGUUGACCAAUAUAUGGGAAUUUGGAUCAUGAUUUUCUUUAUUCCUAAAUACGUAAAUAAUAAGUAGCUCAGGAUUUUUCUAGGGAAAUGGUUUAUCAUUAGUCUAUGGGGGUUAUGAAAUAUAUCGAGAAGCUCUAAAGGAAAUCCUAACAAUUUUAUGUUUGUUUUUAGCUGAACUUAAUUGUGUAAGUUGUUACGCAUUUUUAUUAGAAUAAAGAGGCAACAGUUUACAAGUGUCCUUGCUCUUGCACUUGACACAAGUAGUAGUUGGAACCAGUGUAACUUUUUAAUAACACAAAUGCAGAUCUUCUUCCAUCCUGAGAUGUAUUCUGCUGACUUCUCCACUCCUUUACCUGAACUGAUUGACAGCUGCGUUCAAUCUGCACCAAUUGACACAAGGAGAGCUUUGUAUAAGGUGCUUUCUUUGAGCUCUGCAAACACAUCUAAGAAUAGAAAGUGACAUGUUGAUGUGACACUAUGAAAUUCCACUAUUUGCAGAACAUAGUAUUAUCUGGUGGAACUACCAUGUUUAAAGACUUCCACAAGAGACUCCAAAAUAAUAUAAAGAAGAUAGUAGACGAACGUGUUGCCGAAACUAAUGCACAUCAUCGUGUGGAGGUGAAAGUAAGUACAACAAUGCUUGACUGAGCUCAUGCCAUAACUAGUUGAAUUGUCCUCUAUAUGUUCAUGUUUGAAUGUCAGCCUGUUGUAAUCAAUAGUCUAUAUGUGAUUGAUUCUGUAUGUUUUGUUUGUCUAUAUUUUGAUGCCAGCCUGUUGAGGUCAACGUAGUCACCCAUCCUAUACAGAGCUACGCAGUUUGGUUCGGGGGUUCUGUAGCUGCAUCCAGCCAUGAAUUCUUCGAGGUACCUGCCACUUGACACUUCAUUUGACACGCAGAAGUGAAUAUUAGUGCAUAUAUUUCUGCUAUAUUAACUGUUGUAUGUCGAUGGAAGGCCUACUAUUGCAAGUCUUUCAGUCCACGCCAAUCCAGACAUUGCCAUUGUAAUUGGGCUAUGAAUUCAGUCAUAUUUUUGUCCACAUGAAUAGACAGAUAUACAUGGAAUUAAGUGGUUAUUUUUUCUGUUCUCAUUCAGUGCUGCCACACAAAGGAAGAUUACGAGGAGCAUGGAGCAAGCAUCUGCCGAACAAGCACCGUUUUCAAAGGAAUGUACUGAAGUUUUGACAUAUCCGACAUUUUUGUAGGAGCUCUACUAGGUUUCUCCAAAUAGAAUAGAGUCAAAAUUGAUUCUCCUUUUGGCUCGUCUCAACCAUCACUGGGCCGAUAGAUUGUAGCUCAAUAUGUAGCUCUCUCUGUUCUGUACGACAUGUUGUGUAUAGUCAGCAAUUUUCUUCCUGUUCCAGGUGCAUGUUUGUUUGUAGCCAGUUGUGGUCGUAAGCAGAGAGAUGUUUUCCCCUUGUAUUCUUGUUUCAUCUAGAUAGAGGGUUGCUGAAAGAGUUUUGCUAUGUAUGGAGCUGUGUCAAACGCUAUCUUGUUUCCCUUUUACUAUUUUGUGCUAUGGACCCGGAGAAAUGCGAGACUGCUACGGGUGCUCAAUAUCUGCUCCUGCCGCAUCGACGGGCAUGUGGGACUUUUUGGCGUCUUGGAACAUGAAGAGAACAGUUUAUGUAGGUAACUUUUAUGUCCAUAAGUUUUAGUGUGAGCUGAAGUAAUAUAUAGGGGGAGGGGGGUUAUAUAUCCUUUGGAGGGUUGUAGUCUUGAGUAGUGUUGGAUCGGCACUUUGUCAUCUUCGUUGGAGCCAGGCCAGCGUGAUAAGGAACAAGUAACGAGUGACAUUGGAAUCGUCGAGUAACAUUUUCGGUUGAGUUACACAGAAGGUCAAGGUGAGGCAGUAGAUCGGCUUCCGUGGUCCAGCAGAGCAGCUCUGCAGCAGUGACAUCAACAGUGCAUUUCACGUCCUGUAUUCGCAGUCUUUGCCAUGUCUCAGAAAUUAAUUGGCGCGGAUCCCCGUAGUACUGUUUACAGCGAGAUACCGGCUGUUGGUCCUCUUUUCUUACCGGACUGGUAGCAAGCUUUGAUUGGAAACCAGCCAAAUCCAGCCCUGCUAGUGCCAGGCUGCAGUGAAGACCGUUGUCGUUGGGUCCAGCACAAGGACCACUUUUGCCUGCUUGCUCCCUCUCUCUCUCUCUGUGCUUCCAAUAACUGACCUGCACAGCACCGUUUGGAUUUUGCAAACCAAAUCCAAGCCACAGCAACCGCAGAGACGCCAGAAAAACAUCGCGCAAGGAACCGAAAAGACACAUCAUCUAACAAUGUGUUACGCUUCAAUGAUCCACACAAGUCUCGUUCAAACUUACACACGAUGUAUUGAAAAAUAAGGUAACAUCAGGCAUAAGCAAUGUUAGGUACUCGUACUAAUAACAGAUUGCCGACAUUAUUUUGGACUCUAAAGACUCGCAGAUAAAUUGGUUGAGGUUCCAGACUACUCAAGGUAAAACACCGCUACUUGUUGUAAAAAGAGAUUCCUUAGAUCUAUCCUCUGCACUUGGAUGGUUGUCCUUCCCUCUCUCCCUCCU
rnacentral:lncRNA from 1 species